rnacentral:lncRNA from 1 species
GGAAGCUAAACCAAGAAGGCUUAAGUCCUAUUCACCUUGCAGUGGAAAAGGGGCAUAAAGAACUGGCGCUACAUCUCUUGCAAAACGAUAAAAAUCUUGUUCGUGUCAAAAGGAAGCAGGGUGAGACUCCUUUGCACUAUGCACUAACUAGAGAACAAAAUAUUGAUCUCUUGGCAUGCGACCAAUCAAAUUGCAAGGCUGAUAAGCAUGCGACCAAUCAAAUUGGUUCAACGGCACUGGCUGUUGCAAACGAACCUAAUUACAUAGAGAGCAUCAAUAUUUUGCAUGGUUGGGGAAGUGCAAGAGUUUUAAACUUUCAAUAUAAAAUUCAGAAACAAAUGGUUAAGCAUGUGACAAAGGCAUCAGAAGUAAUUUUUCAAGGUAUGGACAGUAUAUCAAGUGAGGAUAGUAAUUUUAGGAUUGCUUCUAUCAGCUACCUACCAAGCCAGUAUUAGCCCGCCUGGUAGUGUUUGGCAAGGUGAUAGCUCCUCAAAAUCCAAUUCCACUCCGGGAAAAGCGGCCAUGAAUCAAGGUGAUUUUCUUCUUUUCUAUAUUCCAGCCUCUACUGUCUUCAUUGUAGCGUUUUUCCUAACAUUAGGCCUCCUUAAACCUUUUCCUCGUGGUUUCAGGACUGCUCUUCAAGUAUUACUUGCAUUUCUUGCUACAUCCUUCAAUGAAUCAAUACUUAUCAUAGCGCCAAGUUCUGCAGCAACUAUAGUUAUCACUUUGUUUACAGUGUUGGUUUUUAUUUUGAUGAUGGUCAUGUGUAUUGCUUACCAGGUAUCAAAAAUUAGCGUUUUAAUUCUAGGAUGCUGGUUCGUGAUUGGUUAUGGUCCAUUGCAGAUAGGAACCUUUUUAAUUAUAGGGUGCUGGUUAUUCCUCGGUCUAUAUGAUUCAUUCUGGAUAGGAUCCAUUUUAGUUUUAGUAUGCAUUUCAGUAAUAUAUGAGUUUUCUUACAUCUGGAUUGUAGUUGUUAUAGUUCUGUAUCCUUGUUUUUACUUGGUCUAUUUCUAUUCUGGAUGGAAGCAGUACAAUGAGAAUGUUCGUCAACAUACCACCCUUAAAAAUUUCUGGACGCCUAACGUUGAAUGAAACUCUAAAGAUGGCUACCACUGCAUCUAGAUAUUUCCUGUUGCCAGUUCUUGUAUCUUUAUUUGUUGUAUCAUAAUGUACCACCAAUAAAUUCAAUUCCUCCUGUACAAAACCAUCUCCACUUUUCAGCUUAUCUGUAUUGUACUUUAUUUCGCUUAUAAUUUGGGCUGAUAUGUUAUUAAUACUCCUUUCUAUUUAAAUUAAACUUUACAUUUGACUAAUCACAAAUUUUUUUAAAAAAAAAUUAUGAUUUUAGUAUUUAUUGUAAAUUAUUUUAUAUAUAGUAUUAGUAAAGCAUAUUGUUUUUAAUUUCAAAACAGUAAAUAUAUGUUAACCCUCUUGUACUUUUUCUGUGUUCUGGACUAUAUAUAACACAUUAACCCUCUGGACCACUCUUGGUCUAACAGCAUUUCUCCUCUAAGGUGGUUCUAUUGCUUUCCUAUUGGUCCAAAUGGACUACAUCUCUGUCCCUCGUCUUUAUUAUGUUGCUGUUAUUGCCGUUUCCUAGAUUUGUUUAAGGGGAGACUGAGAGCAUAAAUGAAGCAUGCAUUUGCUUCAUAUGCAGAGGCAGAGCUAAAGUGGAAGGAAAUUUACAUUGAAAUAUUCUAUUUUUCGGUUGCUGCACUGUGCUUUACUGUAAUCAUGCUGCAAAAUUGAUUAAAUUCGUAGAUAAAAAGUAUUUAGGAACCCAACACUUUUUAAGUCUAAUGUUCAAUGUAGAUCCAAUCCUCAUUUUGAUAUCACUUUUUAGCAUGGUAUUGUUCCUUAUCAUUUUAUUAAAAGAAAGUUGGUACUGGAUAUUGAUAUUUUGUUAUUUCAAUUUGCAGCUACCAUGCAACAAAAAUUACACACGGGUAAUUGUUUACGUAAUCAAAUUAUUGUCAUGAGCAAAAAACUAUAACAUUGACAAACAGAGUCUUUUUCUUUUGUAAAUUUUGUUUAUCAUGAGACAAUUGAAGUACAAUGGUCACUUAUAAAAAAAAUUGAUUUUUUUUUCCACUUGUUAAAUGGGUUAAUUGGCUAACCUGACCAUUUCAUGAUGUAGAUAGCUAGCAGAUGACAAGUAAUUUUAGGAUCAUAGGAAUAAUAUGAUUUUUUUUUUAAUUUAUUUGGAUGACAAGUAAGUAUAAGUUUGGGAAUUUACUUUUCUUAUAUUUCAAAGAAGUUUAGGGUCGAAUACAUUUUUGUUUAAAUUUACUUUACUUGCACUUUAAAUUUAAGUUAAGUAAGAUUAGGGUAUUAUAAAAAAAAACCCUUAGAUUUAGUUAUUAGGGAAUUAAUAUAUUUUUUUGAAUAAUUGAAUAGCAUUAUAUUUUUUGUUAAAAUUUGAGUGUAAAUUUUUGCGUUUAAAACUUAAUUUGGUUAUCAACCUUAAAGGCUUUGUCGAGUGUUAGUUUUUGUUUUCAUUCUAACUCAUUCUAUCAUUUCAAAAUUUGAAAAUUGAACCAAAAUUAAAGUGGCGUUUCCACAAACAUAACAAAAGCAUUUUUUAAAGUUCACCUAAUUUUAGGGAUUGGUUAUUCAAUUUUGAAAUAUAUUGAAGAUUGAGAGCACUAGUCAUUCAAACUUGUACAACGUGUUUGGUUGAGGGGAAUGGCAUAGUCAUUCACCUAAUAUUCCUAAUACCAGUCAAAUCAAUCAUUUGUUUCGUGAUGGCCAUUCCUUGAGAGGUUGGAAUAGGUAUUGUCAAGGCCCUCUACGAUAAUGUCUAUUCCAAUCCAAUGAGCACAAAAAAAUAAAAUAAAAAAAACCAAUGCAUAGAAUCUUAACUCUUCAAAAGAUAUUAAAAAAACUACAACAAAUAAAAUUUUAAAAUAAAUUAAUUUUUUGAAACGACUUCAAAUAGUAAAGUGAUUUUUGCAUUAUGAAUCCAAUACAUUGCAAUCAUUGAAUCUAAUUCAAUAAUUAAUUAAUGACCUCUUUCCCAACCAUGAUGAGUGAUAAAAAAUUUCAAGAGCCAUCUCUCCCUUUCUUUGACUUCACGCAAUCCUAAAGUGUUGUCGUCACAUUGAUUUUUUACUCUUAUGAGCAGUCCAUAAGUUUUGAAAAUUACAUAGCCACAUGUGCUAUCCCGCCUUGAAUAUACAUUAAAACCAGAUUCAAGUAGAGAGAGAGAGUUGUCAUCAUAGUGGUCCAAACUAUCGAAAAUUUUAUAAUAUAUACUACUGUUUUACCACGAAAACUACUUUAUUCGGCCUUUUCUGUUUUUUAAUCUUUCCCGGUUGACUAAAAAGCACUGAGGUUUUUCCUUGUAAGUUCGUCAAGGUACUCCUGUGCAGUGCACCCUCUCUUUAUACUCAAAGUGUAGGGUAGAUGCAAAUUCUGGAGGGCCUUAACUAAGAAUGAAGGCACGCGCCUUACAGCGCGACUGACAAAAAUCAACCAUUUCCGAGGCCAAUUGUUAUACAAACGGAACCAGUCUCCUCUUUCCUUCUCACUCUUGUUUACUUCAUUCUCUUUCUACUCUAUAUCUGCAAUAAAUCGACUAACCCUUUCAGUUAUUUUCCAAAGAUUAUUAUUCAAUCUUACCGAUGGAUGAAAGGUUGAGGAGUGCAGCUCAAUCAGGAAAUAUAGAUGCCUUGUAUGAUUUAAUCGAAGGUGACGCGGAUGUUUUACGACGCAUCGAUGAGAUGGAGUUCGUUGAUACUCCACUGCACAUAGCUGCAGCUGAAGGGCACACUGAGUUUGCAAUGGGGUUGAUGAACUUAAAGCCAUCAUUCGCUAGGAAGCUCAACCAACGCUGCUUUAGCCCCAUUCACCUAGCCUUGCAAGAGAAACAAGAAAAGAUGGUGGAUGAUCUCCUAUCAAUUGAUAAAGAUCUUGUUCGCGUCAAAGGGAGGGAGGGUUACACUCCUCUUCAUCAUGCAGUCAGCGAAGGAAAUGUUCCGCUUCUGUCUAAAUUUCUGGAGAAUUGCCCCAAUUCUAUCUUUGAUUCGACUAUUCGAAAAGAGACUGCUCUGCAUAUUGCAGCACAAAAUAAUAAUUUAGAAGCUUUCCAAGCCAUACUGUUUUGGAUUCAGAAGACACGCGAAUGCCACAACAUGGAGAAAAGAAGAAUCCUAAACUUACAGGACAAGGAUGGAAACACUGUGCUGCACAUAGCCGCAUCAAAUAACCAAACCCAGGUACCAUUUUUCUCAUCCUAAGAGAAAUGAGAAUUUAUUGGCAUAGUGUUAUAUAUCAUUUGCCAAUUAGUUGUGGAUUUUAUAUACGCAGAUGAUCAAACUGUUAAUAGAAAGCCAGAAGGUUGAUAGCAAUGCGGUUAAUCAGAGUGGUUUUACAGCUUUGCGUGUCUUACAAGAACAAGCUCGAGUUGACAGCGGAGAGAGUGUGAACAUUCUGAAACGGGCUGAAGAUCCAGUCUCUCCACUGUCAGUAUUUACCAAAUCAUCUAUGGAGACGGAUUUGGACCAACUGUCGUAUGAUAUUUCGAAGAUGAAUAUAGAUACAAUCAAUGCGUUGCUAGUCGUAUUUGCUCUGAUUCUAACGAUGACUUACCAAGCUCUUCUCAGCCCGCCGGGUGGUGCUGAAGCUGCGGGGAAGUCAGUCCUCAAGCCUUACAUGUUUAUUUUGUUCUAUACUUCAAAUCUCGCAGCUUUUGCAAUUACGUGGUUUUUAGCAGUGUUCAUCAUCCAGACAGUUGCCAGCAAAAUCGCACGUUUUGUGGCUAUACUAUUCAUUUUGAUCUGGUUUUGCUACAUUGUUGCACAUGUUAUCAUAUCGCCACCGCCAUAUGCCGGUUGGGUUGCUUUUGCUGCUGCUUACAUAAUUGGCAGCUCACUUUUUGUAAUUGGCAUGCGUAUCCGUCGCAAAAGAAAUUAAUUUCUUACUUUAUAAAUAUUGAAUUUAAUACCCUUUUUAUAAUUUAUAUAAAUCAAAUUUUUAUAUUUUUAAAAUUUAUUAAUGUUAGUCCAGUUGCUAAUACUAUUAAAAUUCUUCUACUGAAAUCAUUGACAUGGUAUUGAUUGUUAAAUGAGAAUUGUAAAUAAAUAGCGCUAGAUAUAAGCAAGAAUAAAGAAUCGGAAUCAGGAUGGAAGAAGAAGACCACUUGCAAAUAAAUGAAGAAGACUGAGUUGAGCAGUGCGCACCAUUUUGUGAAGCAAGGAAGAAGGAAAUCUGAAGUGCACCGUUUCGCUUAUGCACUGUCUCUCAACUGCUGUUUUUAGAAUUUCAUCUGUUAUUUUAUUCCUUACAAAUGUUAGUUAGUUGUUAGUUGUUUUAAUUAACUAAGUUUUCCCUCUUCAUCACCAGAUUAACUAAGUUUUCCCUAUCGUUUUAAUUCUCAUGGAUUCAAUUCCAACAUUGGAUAAAGUCUGUAGCUUGGUAUUCAGAGAAGAGACAUAUAGGAAUCUUAUAUUUUAGUCACUUGGAUAAAGUCUGUAGUUUGGUACUUGGAUUUUUUUAAUGAAAGGUCAAUUAUUCCCCCUUUUAACAAUUUUGUUCAAAGACAAUACAACACUUCAAUCAAAUGCUUAACGGCAAAGAAUUUGACCUAACUGAUUUUUAUGCAAGAAUUGCCAUAAUUCAUCACUUGUCCUGCAUUGAUACUCCAAAACAAAAUGGAGUUAUAGAAAGGAAGCACCAGCACAUCCUAGUAGUGGCAAGGUUCCUUAUGCAUCAGCCAAAGCUCCCAAUUCACUUUUGGGGAGACACAAUGCUUAUUAACAUUCAUAUCAUUAAUAGAAUACCAACCAAGGUCCUUAAAAACAAGUCACCAUAUCAACUACUGCACAGCAAGCCACUAGCCUAUGACUACUUUAGAGUUUUUGGAUGUUUGUGCUUUGUUCCACACUAGCACAUAACAGAAAAAAUUUUGAGAGUAGAGCCAAUAAAUGUGUUUUUAUAGGAUAUUCGAACUAUGUAAAAGGGUAUAAAGUCUAUGAUAUGGAUGCACAUAAAGUCAUAACACCAAGGAAUGUUGUUUUCCAUAAGAAUGUAUUCCCUUUCAACCUUUCACAGCAUGAUUCACGAUAUUCUGCUUUUUAUCAAACACAUGGUAUGCAUUCUACGUCCGUGAAUGAUUUUGACUUUGACCUAACAAGUUCUCCUUUACAUGAGCACAUAUCAACUGAAUUACAUGUAAAUGACCCUUCAUCCAGUGCAGAACAUGCUACCACAUUAGAAAAUGAUAGCCAUUCAUAUAUUCCAUCACCUAUACAUAGUAUGCACAUUGAUGAACCUAAAACAGAAAAUGAUGUUGACCUUGUUGACCCAAUCCAACCACUUAGGAGAAGCUCUAGACAUGGACAAACACCUAAAUACCUGGUAAGUACUACACUGAACUACCACCUCAUAAAAAUUCAACCACACCAUACCUAUAACCAAUUACCUAUCAUGUCAAAACCUGUCACCAACACAUAGAGCCUUCACUAUGCCCAUGUCAUAUAUCCAUGAACCAAGUUCUUACCAAGAAGUUGCGAGCCAUUCACAUUGGAGAGAUGCUAUGGAAGUUUAGCUGAGGGCUUUGGAGGAUAAUCAAAUGUGGAGUAUAGUACCAUUGCCUUAAGACUCCCAUACAAUUGGAUAUAAAUGGGUAUACAAAGUCAGGUUGAGAGCCAAUGGAGAUAUAGAGAGAUACAAAGCUUGUCUAGUAGCUAAGGGAUACAACCAAGUUGAAGGUUUUAACUAUCAAGAAACCUUCAGUCCUGUGGCAAAACAAACCACAAUCAGAGUAUUCCUUGCCUUAGCAGCAGCAAACAAAUGGACAUUAUCUCAACUUGACAUAAACAAUGCAUUCUUGAAUGGAGACUUGGAGGAGGAGUGUAUAUGGAACUCCCACAAGGAUGAUGUUGGAUCAAAAUUAGUUUACAAGCUGCACAAGUCCUUUUAUGGACUUAAACAAGCAUCCGAGCAGUGGAAUGCCAAGCUUACAGCAUCCAUUUGAAAGUAUAGUUCAAGCAAUCAAUUUCAGAUUAUUCCUUAUUCAUUAUGAAGAAAGAAAAUGGAGAUUUUAGUGCUCUAUUGGUCUAUGUAGAUGACAUUAGAGUGGGAAGCACAUCAAGCAAAGCAUAAAAUAAUGUAAAGGAAUAUCUAAAAUCACAGUUUAUGUUAAAAGACCUAGGUUCAUCAAUCAACACUAGGUAUAUCCAUAUGUCAGAGGAAAUAUACCUUGGAUUUGUUAGAAAGUCAAGGCUUACUUGGAUUCAAACCUACAUCAACACCAAUAGACUACAACCAUAAACUGAGCAGGGCUGCAAAGGAAGAAAAAUUAAAUGAUCAAACCAGUUAUAGACAAUUGAUAGGAAAGCUUUUAUACCUAACAUUCACAAGGCCAGACAUCACAUAUGCAGUCCAAGUUCUUUCUCAGUUCAUGGAGAAACCAAAAAAGAAACACCUCACAGCAGCUCAUAGAGUGCUAAGAUAUUUAAAAAAAGCUUCAGGGCAAGGGAUUUUGAUGAAGUCAGAUUCCAAGUUAAAGAUCUUUACCUAUUCAGAUAGUGACUGGGUAGGUUGUCUAGAGAUUCAAAGAUCCAUAAGAAGGUAUUGCAUAUUUGUUGGGGAGUCAUUGGUAAGCUAGAAAUCAAAGAAGUAACAAGUAUGAGCCGGAAGAUCAACACAAGAAGAGUAUAGGUCCAUGGCUACCACAUGUUGUGAAGUCAUUUGGAUGAAAUCCUUGCUAACUGAUCUUGGAGUCAUGUCAUGAUGAAACAAUAAAUCUUUAUUGUGACAAUUAGUCAAAACUACUGAUGAAGCACAUAGAAAUGGAUUGCCACUUCAUAAGGGAGAAAGUCCUAACUGGAAUCACCAGACUAGUAUACGCACCAACUGAGCUGCAGGUUGCUGAUUUAUUCACUAAGGCACUGUAGCCAAGGCAAUUUUGCAACUUGAUGAACAAGAUGAACGUUCUCAAUGAUCACGCUUCCUCUUGAGGAAGAGUGUUAAAUGGGAACUGUAAAUAAAAAAUGCUGGAAAUAAGCAAGAAUAAAGAAUAAGAAGUAGGAUGGAAGAUGAAGACCACCUGCGAAUAAGUGAAGAAGACUGAACAGAGCAGUGUUUUGUGAAGCCAGAAAGAAGGAAAUGUGAAGUGCACCGUUUCACUUAUGCCCUAACUCUCAACGUUGCUGUUUCUAAAAAACCUAAGAUACCUGCCAAACACACUCUAAAUCCUAAGUUUAUUUUAUAAUAAACAACAUGAACGCUUAGUUAUUGCAAUGGUUUUUGUUUCUUUUGGCCAAGCUUAGGUAUUGCAAUUAAAAUAAAAGAGUAUGAGCACUUGUAGUUAAUAUAAGCACAUGAGAGGGCUUUAAUACGUGAGCAAUGUAAGAACAAAUAUUUUGCUUUAAAAGAAAAAAGUUCAGUAGCAACGAUAGGUAGAGUACAUGUAUUUCUUCUAUUACUGUGCUUUUAGUCUUCUGGUAGUUGCUGUGCUAAUUAUAAUAGCCACUCUCCAAGCUUCAUUUAGUCCACCUGGAGGUGUUUUGGCAGGGAGAUAACAGUAGUUCAUCUACCUCAGAGGCUGUUAGCUCCAAUACCCCCAAAAUUAUUAACGCCACUAGAGAAGGAAGUUCAAUUUCACAAGCAUUACCCUGUCAAGGGACAACAGUAAUGGGAACUCUUCUAUAAUUAUUUUGGGAUGAAAGACUAGGGCAAUUUCAAUCCGACUUUCAAGAUAACUUCUCAUCGGGGAUUUAUAUCAUUUUAUAAUUAUUUUCAUCUCAAUUUUACAAUUAUUAAAUUUUAAUUAUUUUUAAAACAUGUACAUUUAUUAAUCACAAAAUACUUAAUCGACUGUACUAGAUUUAUAUAUAUAUAUAUAUAUAUAUAUAUACAUGGAAAGAUAAGUAUGAAAAAACAACUUUUUUAUUUAAAAUUCAAAAUAUCCUACAAUAAUUGUGCUUCUAAUAUAAUAUGAUUUAAAUUGGUAAUGUCAAUCUAGUUAAAUGAAUUAAAAUGCAAAAGUUAAAGUAAAUUGGAAGGAACAAAGGCCGAUUGUGUAAGAUUCCUUUGCCCUAGCUUUAGAAGUUCUCCAAUAAAGAAUGUAAAAGAGAUGUUAUACAUGCUCUGCUUUUCUUAAUCUGCACGCCUAGCAUCUUUGCCAUUGAACUAUGGCCUAUGGCUGAUACUAUUAUUUAAAAUAAAAAAUAAAGUUUUGUUACAAAUCCUUAGAGUACUUUUUAAAGUUAAUUAAUAUUUUUAUUUAUAGUAAUACUUUUGUUAUAAAUUCUAAUGUAUUAGACAAAUAUAUUACUUAAUAUUAUAACUUUAAAAAGUUUUUUUAAAGUACUAACUUUCUAAAUCCGAUAAAUAAUAAUAUAAAAUUUACAAUUAAUGGCAAAAGCUGCAUUAAAAUAUUUUGUGAUCAGCAUUCUUCCACAUAAUCUUUUUAUUUGUAAUAUAUAUAUAUAUAUAUAUAUAUAUAUAUAUAUUUGUGUAUAUAAUAUAUAUUUCUUUUUGGAACACAUGACAUGCUUAAUACCAUCUUGGUUUAAAAGUACAAUAAUGUAAGGGGCAAUGAAAAUUGUUUAGGAGAUUGCACAUCAGCCAAAAGCAAAAUUCAAAGCCAACCAAUACUCAAAAUUUUAUGCUUGUUGUCGAUCUUUAUGGAGGCUAAAAGACCCUGACAGAGAAUUUGAGAAUAUCUUAGCUUCCAAGAUUGUUGCCAAAAAAAGUGAAGCAGACGAACACCCUUUAGUAGUUUAUUUGUCAAUGCAUGGAUAACGCUGUUGCAGCAGAUUUUUACAGGCUUCAUGGCUAGGGUAUUGAGGGAAGCUGCUCGAGCAGGAAACAUCGACGCCCUAUACGAGCAAUUUCAAGAAGAUCCACACCUUUUGGAGACCAUCGAUGCGGUUCCUUUCAUUGAUACUCCUCUGCACGAAGCUGCAGCUGCAGGGCAAGUUGAUUUUGCAGUGGAGAUGAUGAACUUGAAGCCAUCGUUUGCCUCAAAGAUUAAUCCAGAUGGUUUUACCCCAUUGCACCUUGCUUUGCAAAAACACCAAACUCAGUUACUAUAUGAGCUACUGAAAAUCAACAAAGACCUGGUUCGAGUCAAGGGGAAAAAAGGUGUGACCCUUCUGCAUUACGCAGCUGAACUAGGAGACAUUGAUCUUUUGGCUAAGUUUCUUGUAGCUUGCCCUCAAUGCAUCAAAGAUGUGACUGUUGGCGGUAAAACUGCUCUGCAUAUUGCGGCAGAAAACAACCAUGUUGAAGCGCUUGAAGUCCUGGCACGUUGGCUACGACGGACUCACAACAAAGAUGGUGGAUUCUGGGAAAUUGAAGUCAUGAACUGGAAAGACAAGGAUGGCAACACAGUAUUGCACGUAGCUGCAGCCAACAGCCAAAAUCAAGCAGAGGCACGAUCUAAUAAUCCUCUCUCAUUAACUAUACUAAAUAAGUCUAAAUUUUUUUUCCUUAUGUUAACUUAAUUUGUCAAUAAACAGACAUUUGUUUUUUCUUUUUUCUUAUAUGAAUCUAUGGAGCAGAUGAUAAGACUCUUGUUGGAAUGUGGAAUUCGAAGGAACAUAAUCAAUUUGAAUGGUUUGACGGCUCUGGAUGUUUUACAAUGCCAAGGGCAAGUCGACAACAGGAAGGCUGUGGACAUUCUAAGACAGGCAGGAGGUUUAAAUGCUUCCUCAAUUCCAGAAUCCACACCCUUGGCUGAGCUCUUUAGUUCAAAGGUUGAAUUUUCUGAGAGAUUAAUGAUAAUUGUAACUCGGGCCAGACUCAAUAUACCAAGUGACACACGCAAUGCGUUCCUGGUACUAGCCGGGUUAGUAAUAACAGCAACCUACCAAGCCAUUUUCAACCCGCCCGGCGGUGUUCGACAAGCUGAAGCAGGUCCCACUCAGGUUCCGAGCGGAGCAGGUAGAUCAGUUAUGGAUACAAAUAGUUUUCUUUGGUUUUAUGUUCCAAACACUGCAGCAUUUCUCACCACACUUUUCCUUACGGUUCUGUUUCUGAUAAUUGGUCCUAAUGGUGAAUUGGUUCUCUUACCGCUGCUGCCAUUGGUCAUUUGCUAUGUCAUGUCGACGCUGGUCAUAACCCCAACUGCAACGUUUACUUAUUACAUUUGGCUUACUUUGGUGAUUGCUGUUGCGUCUGGGUGUUGGUUAUUUGGGGCUCAUCUAUAUUGGCUUCUGAAAAUAUGGAAGGUUAACAAGAGUUCGGGAGAACUCACCCUCUCAGUGUUAUCUUAAGAGGGGUGGAAACAUACACGUCCUCUAGCUUUGGCCUUUGCAUAGAUAGAUGUUCUCAGCAUAGAAUGUUGAGAUGAAUUUAAAAAUGUUGAUUGAAUUUAUUGCGAUUUUUCUAGAGAAAUGUUCAUUUUCAUAUCCCCUGGCGCCAUCCAUGGCAUCCUUUUGCUAAUUAUUUCCAUUAUCAUCAUAAUGUAAAAUCGUUUACCCUUCAAAUGCUUGUUUGCAAUUUUGGGUUUGCAUCUUGCUUAGGCUUGGACUAAAGGCUGGCCCAAGCUUUUCUUUUCUAUUUUUUUUCGCUAAAUAGUCCCAUCUAAUCUAACUCAUAAAGCUCAUAAGAUUUUUCAAAAACUUAUGUGUACUGUAAGGUACUAUAUAACGUUUAUAUUUAUAAGUGAUAGAUUUUUAUAUAACUUUUUUUAUAAUUAAAUAUUUUAAUAUUAUAAAAAAACUCAUUAACAACCCACUAAGCAUGCUCAAAUGCAUAAAGACAAGCACGUAUAUAACAAAAAUAUCCAAUUCUCUAUAUUGUCCUUUGUAUCAAUUGGAGAUAGGAGACGCUGGGAGGGAAUUAAGAAUCUUAAUCCGCAUCAGUUGAGUUUUGUCCAGGGCACUCAAUGGGACUUUUGAAUAUCAUAUGGUCGCAAGUGCUAUCCAGCCUUCAAUAUAUAUUUUAAAAACCAGGAUAAAGUAAUGAGAGAGAGUUGUCAUCUUAGUGCUCCUAAUUAUUGAAAAUUUUAUAACAUAUACUACUUUUUUUUCCAAGAGAACUCCUUUAUUCUACCUUUUCUGUUUUUUAAUCUUUCCCGGUUGACUAAACGCCACCCACGUUUUUCCUUGUAAGUUCGUCAAGGUACCGCUAUGCAUCCUCUCUUUACUCUUUCAAUUGCUGUUUCAACUACACUCUAAUUAGCCAAAGCCCUCACUACCUAUCAAUUUAUCGUUGUUCUAAGCCUUCUCACCUCACUGUGAUUACCGGAUGGAUGGGAGCUGCUCAACUCUUUAUUUUUAAGUGAAUUUCCUCCAUGCUUUCUUAAUUACACUUUUCUGUUUUCGGCCUGUCAUUGUAAUUUCGCUAAUCUUGUUAUGGAAGAAAGUUUGAGGAGGGCUGCUCAAGAAGGAAACAUCGUUGAAUUAUAUGCAUCAAUCCAAAGAGAUGGAGUUUGUCAACACUCCAUUACACAUAGCUGCAGCUGAAGGGUGCAUUGACUUUGCAAUGGAGAUAAUGAUCUUAAAGCCGUCAUUUGCUAGGAAGCUAAACCAAGAAGGCUUUAGUCCCAUUCACCUCGCAGUGGAAAAGGGGCAUAAAGAGCUGGCGUUACAACUCAUCCAAAAUAAUAAAAAUCUUGUCCGUGUCAAAGGAAAGCAAGGUGAGACUCCUUUCCACAAUGCAAUAACGAGUGAACAAAAUCUUGAUCUCUUAACUAGAUUUCUGGAGGCUUGUCCUGAAUGCAUCCAAGAUAUGACAACUAAAAACGAGACUCCUUUGCACAUUGCAACGGGAAACAAUAGAUUAGAGGCUCUUGAACUCCUCUGCCGGAUGCUUAGGAAGAGUGACUAUUGUCAGGAUGUGGUGAACCAAAAAGACAGGAAUGAAGACACUGCCUUGCACAUAGCUUGACGAAAUAAUCAACCCCAGGUCGGAUCUCAUCCCUCUAACUAAUUUUACUUUUACUAAAAAAUGAAUGGAUUCUGUAAUUGGUAUUGUAUUUCAUGGUCAAUUGAUUGUGGCUUUUAUUUAUGUCUCAAUACUCUCAAUCAAGCAGAUGCUCAAACUGCUAUUAAACUGCAAGGCUGAUAAGCUUAAAACUAAUCAGGCUGGUUCGACGGCACUGGCUAUUGCCCACGAACUUAAUAACAGAGAGAGCGUUAAUAUUCUGCGUGGUUGGCGGAGGGCAAGAGUUCAAGAACAAAUGUUUAAGACUGUGACGAAGGAAUCAGAAGUAAUUUUUUUGGGUAUGGCAAGGUGAUAGCUCCUCAAACUCCAAUUUCACUGUAGGAUAUGAUCAAAAAUUUCCGGGUACAUCGGUCAUGGAUGAAGUUGAUUUACUUCAAUUUUAUAUUCCAGCCUAUACUGUCUUCAUAGUAGCGUUUUUCCUAACAUUGGGUCUCCUUAAACCUUUCCCUCCUGGCUUCAGGACUUCUCUUCAAGUACUUCUUGCAUUUCUUGCUAUAUCCUUCGACCAAUCAAUAACUUUCAUAUCGCCAACUGAUUUAGCAUAUCUAGUCAUCUGUACAUUUUCAACAUUGGUUUUUAUUUGUACGAUGUUCAUGUGUAUUGCUUACCGAGUAUAAAAAAUUAGCGUUUUAAUUCUAGGAUGCUGGUUAGCACCUGGUAUGUAUGGUCCAUCUUGGAUAGGAAUCCUUUUAAUUACGGAGUUCUGCUUAUUUCUCGGUCUAUAUGAUCUAUUUUGGAUAGGAUCCAUUUUAAUUCAAAGAUGCAUUACAGCAAUAUUUGAAUUUUAUUACAUCUUGAUUGUAGAUAUAAUAGCUCCAAUGUUGGUCUGUUUUUACUUGGUCUGUUUCUAUUCUGCUUAGAAGUAACACGAUGAGAACGUUGGUUGACAUCGCACCCCUCAAGAUAUACGGACACCUAAUGUUGAAUGAAGACAUAAAAAGAUGGCUGCCCCUGGAUCUAGAUAUUUCCAAUUCCCGGUUCUGUAUCUUUAUUUGUUGUAUCACAAUGUACCGCCCAUAAAUUCAGUUCCUCCUGUAUAAAAUCAUCUCUACUUUUUAGUUUAUCUUUUGUUUUACUUUAUUUCGUUUAUAAUUUGUGCUCAUAUGUUAUUAAUAUUCUUUUUGUUUUAAAUUAAACUUUGCGUUUUCACUUAUCAUAAAAAUUUUGACAAAAAAUAUUAGCAUUUAUUGUAAAUUAUUUUAUGUAUAGUAUUUUUUUAAAAAAAUUAUCUUUAAGUAAUAGACUUUGGGGUUAAGGUUUUUUUUAUUUUUGUUGUCAUUUACUUCUGUUGGUGUGGAGGGGAUCCAGUCUUGAGAUCCCAAAGAGUAUUAUCUUGGGUCCUGCGCAGAGGCGGAGGGAGGGGGAGCUAGCAGGGCCCCCGCCCUUUCCAAAGAUGUUAAAAGUUUAUAAUUUUUUUAUUUUGUUUUAAAUAUUUAUAAUUUUACUCUUAAUUGUACACUGCUACUUCUGCGGGCCAGGCCUUGGUGCCACCACAAGUCUCCUGUAACAGGGCCGGUGACUUGAUGUCUCCAUUUAGGGAAGAAAAUCACUGGCAACGUAACUGUUCGGGUUGUUAAUAGGUUAAGUAGUAUUAUAAUUAAAAUAGUAAUACUAAUUGAAAAUUUUUUAUUUAAAUAUAUUAGAAAAGUAUUAAAAAUAAAUUCAAUAUAAUUUUAUUUUAAAAAUUAUUAAAUAUCAUCAUUAGUAAAAUUAUGUUAUUAUUAUUAUAAUACCCCUCACAAAAUAAAUCAAUAAAAUAUUUUUUGAAAAUAAAGUAGAUAUAUUUUAAUUAGUGUCAGAUUACGUUAUCACAUUUAAAAGAAAAUCAAUCAAUUUUACCUUAUUGUAUUUAAAAAAAAACAAUCAAUUAAUCUUAUCAUGUUUUAAAAUAAAAAUAAUCAAUUUUAUCUCAAUACGUUUAAAAGAAAAGGCAAAAAACUCAUGUUAGUUUAUUUCAUUGGAUUCAAACGAUAGGCAAUCAGAAGAGCUUAACACCAAGGAAGAAGAAAGACAGAGGAAACAGAAAAUUAUUCAAGGGAUUUCUGAUUAAAAUAUGUUUAGGGUUGUAUUUCAUAGUUUGGAUACAAAAAUUUCAAAUUAUUUAUAUGUUUUAAAAUUUUAUUUAAACCCAAUACUUUUUCGAUGACUUUCUGGUGGCAUAAUGAGUACCAAUGGAAAGGUCUUGAAAUAUCUUUUCAAUGAUUUUUAUAGCAUCUCGUUUGGUCUUACGGUUAGGAAAAUAAGAAUUUUUGAAAUUAAUUGAAAAUCUAGUUUUUAACAGUUUUAACAACCCAACUUUGAAUAACCAGAACUUCAUAUUCCGGUAACAUUUUUGAUCGUUUCUUUGAGGGUUUUUGUAGUAUGAAAUGAGAUGUUUAAUUUGGUGUCAAUGGCUUGGUUAGGAGCUUUCUGUGUUAAUAGAAUUAAAACCUCAAAGUAAGCUCAUUGACAAUGAAAAUCUAAAAGUCUGAGUAUUUUUGUAAUGAUUUUGAGAAUUUUGACUUUCAAAACUUGAGAAUUUUGUGUUCUUUUUAAUCAAAAAAUUUUGGUGUUAUAGUAUGAUGUGAAUACUUCAUAUUGGUAUUGAUUUUAUCACUGGAAAUAAUUCAGGUUAAAAGUUAUAAGAGCUUAAAUUAAGUCAAAUGGCCAUCUAGAUUCUAAAAAUUUUAAAAAAUAAAAAAAUUAAUUUUUUUAAAAUAUGAUAUUAAUUAAUAUGUGAUAAAUUAUGUUGUAAACUGCAUAAAUAUUGGAUAUGUGAUUUCUACUGUAUUUUUAUUUCUAAAAGUAUAUAUAUUUACAUUUUAUAAAUUUAUUUCUUAAAUUAGUAAAUUUUAUUAAAAUAUCAAAAUUUAAUGAAAAAUUAUAAAUAUGAUUUUUUUAUGAAUGAAAUUAGUGUGAUCUUUCUAUCAGAAAUUAAAAAUCUUUCCUGAUUUUAUUAUUUAAGUUUAAAUUCUCAACUUUAUUUGAAAUUUUAUUGAUUCAAAAAUAUAUAUAAUAAUAAAAUAUUAUCUUAUCAAUUGAAAAUGUUUUUAAAUUAUAAUAGAGGUUGCUAUACAUCCUAAGUGCUUAUAAUGGCCAAUGGAAGUCACCUUGUAGGAUUUGUUUGCAAAUUCAGUUCUGAUUUUGUAUGUAUUUUCUUGUUAUAUUAGGCAACUAGGAGGAUUAUCUAAUUUGCUGCUUGAAAGUAAACUUGACAAAAUCAGGUAAGUGACCAAUAUCCCUUCGGUGUUUUCACAUCCUAAAAAAAUUAACCUCAAUGUGAAUUUGUACAUGAUAUAUGAUAUUUUGUCCUAUGAUUUAUUAAAAUUGGGUUGAGCAUGCAAAAUGUAUAUGUAUAUGUAUAUAAGUUUUAUGUAUUAGAUUUAGAAUGUGGCUUAUGCAAAACGUGAUUUCUUAUUUUGAAAUUUGUAUAUAACUUUGUAUAAUGUAUGCAUAUAUAUUUUCGUGAAUAUAAACAUAAAUAUUUAGUUUGAAACAAAUAUGCUUUUAAGGUGUAUGAGAUAUGCUUGAGAAAGUUGAUAUACUGUUUUAUAAAAUUUGAGUAAUCUAAAAAUAUAUGUUUUUGUUUUGUCUCCUAGUAUGGCUAUGCUCUAACCUUGCCAAUGGGGGUUAAAUGUUGACUAUGUCGACAUGUAUUCUGUUAUUAGAGAUUGAUCUCUCAAUCGUACCACCGAUUACAGAAUAGUGGCACUUAUGAUAUCUGUUCAGUGCAACCAAUAGUUACUUUUGAUAUAUUUCUGACCCGUGCCAUCGGGGUUAAUCAUGGAUUUAUUUUUUACCUAUACCACAGGGAUUAAGUGUGGUUGUAAUAUGUUACAGAAGACUAUUAAAAUUUAAAAUAUUUGUGAAAUAUGUUUGUUCUGUUAUCUGAAAGUAGAAAUUUUAAAGUAUUUGAUUUUAAAUAAGAUUACCUAAUAAUUUAUUUUGAUAUUUAUAUUAAUGACAUUUUGGUCUAAAUGUUUUAAGUAUGUUUAACCCGACUGAAGGGAUGUUAGUUACUUGCUGAGUAGUUGGACUCACUUCUUCCUUCAAAAUUUUUUUCAGGUUAUGAUUUGAUCAACUACGUAGAAAUUUUGAAGAGUGAUGUUUAAUCUAGCAGUAUUUAAAUUAUUUAGGAUUUAUUUAAAUAUUAUGAACAUUGAACUGUCUUAAUUAGUAUUCAGACUUCUAUCUUGACAUAAUAGCCUUAUGGUUUUGUAAACUUAAUUUUAAAUAUUGUCGAAUUAUGAUCUUUUGAAUUUUCUAUCGAUAGAUUUAGUUUUAUGAAUCACUAUAUUCUUCAAGUAUUUUAGUUUUUUUUAGAUAGUGUUAUAAGGUAUAUGUAUUAAAACCUUCCAUGUCUGUAAGAUUACAUCUUACAAGUAUAUGGCGUCUAUCGUGCCUCGAGUCAGAGGCAUGACAAUUAUUCAAAAUUUGAGUCUUGUAAAAUAAUUUUUUAUAUUUUAAAAUAUUUUUUCAUAACUUAUUUAGACAAAAACUUGUUAAAAAUUAUUACUCAUUUUUCAAUAACAUAUUCAACAACUAACAAUUUGACAAAUUUCUAUUCAUUGAUCAAAAUUAAGUAUAAAUAUUUACAAAUCACAUAAAAUUAAAUAAUCAAAUAAUAUAUUUACAAAAUAAAUAAAUAAAUUCAUAAUUUCAAUAUAUUGUUUAAUAAGCAAUACUAUUUUCUAUUAGAAAGAUUUUUUUUUGGUCCCAAAUUAUUAAAUUAAUUAAAAAAUAUUUACGCAUAAAAUAUUUAAAAACUUUAUUUAUGUUGAAAAUUAUUUACAAUUGAACAAAUAAAAUAUAGAUGAGUUGCUUUAAAAAAAUAAAAAAUGCAAACAAAGAUUAGGAAGAGAAGUUUGUUUGCAAGUCUUAAAAGUAAUAUUUGAAUUUUUGAAAAGGAAGAGUAUAGUUUAAGUUUUAAUUUUUUUAAUAAAAUUUUAAAUUAUAAUUUUUUUAAUUUUUUAGUAUAUAAAUUAUUUUUUUAAUAAAUUUACUUUUAUCAAAAAAAUUUUAUCUCACUUUUUAUUAAAUUAUAAAAAAAUUAUUGAAUUUUUUAUUGUUAUUAAUUAUGUAAAAUUCUAAAUAAAUAAUAUAUUUAAAAUAAAUUUUUAACAAUUGAAUGACAUCACGUGACACCACUUUAUAUAGGUGGGUCCGCCAGUGAUUGUCAGCUACAGCCCUCCCUGUUAAGGCUGAGGCUCUAGAUGCCUUUAUUCCCUAGCUUUUUUUUAGGUGUCUUUUGAAGCUUUGAUACCUUUACCCCAUUCAAAUAAGCACACUUAAGGAGAGAAUGAGAGCACAAAGGAAGUAUGCAUCUGAUUCAUACGCGGCGCUAAAGUUGAAGCAACUUUAUAUUGAAAUAAUCAUGCUACAAAAUUGGAUAAAUUUGCAGAUAAAUAACUAUUUAGGACCCCAACACUUUUUUAAGUCUAAUGUUGAAUGUAGAGCCAAUCCUCAUUUUGAUAUCACUUUUAACAUGGUGUCGGUUUCCUAUCAAUUUAUUAAUAGAAGUUGACAUUGGAAAUUGAUAUGUUGUUAGUUUCGUUGGCAGCUACCACCGGGUAAAAUUUGCACGUGUAAUUAUCUACGUAAUCAAGUUCUUUGUUGUUUUUUGUCUUUUUAAUUUUCUCAUUUUUAAAUGUAGUUUGACUAGAAUUAAUUAGAUUAGUAUAUCUAAUUAAUUCUAAUUAAAUAUAAUUAGAUUAGUAUAUCUUGAUUUAUAAAUCAAGAUAACAGCAAUCAAUAUCCAAGAAUUUUAAUUAAUUCUAAUUAACGAAUCUGCCAAGAAUUUUGCUUCCUCAAUAUCCAAGCCUAGACCCAUGGCUAAGCUCUAUAAAUCAAAGGCUGAAUUUUCUAAAAAAUUAAUGAUGAUUGUAACUCAGGGCCAGACUCAAUAUAUCAAGUGACACACAAUGCAUUCCUAGUACAAGUAAGGUUGGUAAUAACAGCAAUCUACCGAGCCAUUUGUAACACGUCGGAUGGUGUUCGACAAGCCAAGCAGGUUCUAGUGAGGUUUCAAAUGGAGCAGGCAAAUCAAUCAUGGAUCCAAAUAGGUUUCUUUUGUUUUAUAUUCAAAACACUGCAGCAUUUCUCAUCGUGCUUUUCCUUAUGAUUCUGUUUCUAAUAAAUGGUCUUUUCAGCGAAGUGGUUCUUUUUGUUGAAGUUAAUGCUUACAUAUAUCAAGUGGACAAAAUGACAAGUGACAAUCUACUUGGAUAUCAUGCAUGUUUGUAUGUGUUUUACUUAGUGUUGAAGACCACUAUGUGGAGUUAUGUAUGUCACUAUGAUAAUCAUGUUUUAUACUUGUUUCUUAUGUAUUAACAAAUGUUAUAUCUAUUGAUAAUAUGCGUUAAUGAAGUUGUGUAUAUAUAUAUUGAAUAUGAAUGAAAUUAUUGUGGCCUUUUCUCUUUGUUCAUCUUUGUUUAAGAGAUAUAAAAUAGAGGUUGUGUUAUAGCAGUCAUUUACUCUCUUUCUCUCAAAACACAACAUGGUAUCAACUCUCAAUUUGAGUUCUUAGGGGACCAAAACUCUAAAUAUCACCACAAAACCCUCCAAGCAACAACCCACCCUUAAAGCAUGGCAAAUACCAAUAUCUUCUCUCUUUAAACAUCACCAUUAAGGGAGUUUGAGGUCAUGAAGAUGAAGGAAAAUGAAACUUUGAAGUACUGCAAAGAUGAGGUAAUGCAAAUAACAAAUCGGGUGAGAUUGUUGGGUGAGAAUAAUCUACAAAAAAAUGUUGUGAAGAAGGUUUCAGAAAACGCCUUGAGUGCAAAAUUCAAAGGCAAAGUCAAGAGUAACCCAACACCAAGAAAGAAACCUAGUGAGUCAAAGGAGAAAGAAAAGAGAGGUCAUCAACAAAACAAGUCUCAGCUCAAGAAGAACAAGUUUCAAAUUUGUUUACACAAGCAAGGAACAAUAGCAUAGACUACUUUUGAAGUUGAGUAUAUCAUAGAUGUUAUAGCUGCAAACCAAGCUACAUGGAUGAGGAAAGUACUCCUCCAUUUUGGAAUGCCUCAAACAGAACCAACUGAGUUGUUUGUGGAUAAUAAAUUGACAAUUGUUACUGUCAAAAAUCCAGUCUUCUAUGGAAGAACAAAAACACAUCAGUGUCAAAUAUCAUCUAUUGAGUGAUGUUGAAAAAUGUGAUGAAGUGCUUAUUCAUCACUUCAGUUUUGAAGAAUAGUUCACUGACAUGUUGACCAAAUCACUGAGGUAGCCAAAGUUCAGCUAUUAUAGAGAUUAACUAAAGGUUCUCCAAGCAAUCAUUAAGGGAGAAUGUUGAAGUUAAUGCUUGCAUGUAUCAAGUGGACAAAAUGACAAGUGACAAUCGAUUUAGAUAUCAUGCAUGUUUAUAUAUGUUUUGCUUGGUGUUGAAAACCACUACGUGGAGCUAUGCAUGUCACUAUGAUAAUCAUGUUUUACACUUGUUUCUCAUGUAUUAAGAAGUGUUAUAUCUAUUGAUAAUAUGUGUUAAUGAAGCUGUGUAUAUAUAUAUUGACUAUGAAUGAAACUAGUGUGGUCUUCUCUCUUUGCUCAUCUUUGUUUAAGAGAUAUAAAAUCGAGAUUGUGUUAUAGGGGACAUUUACUCUCUUUCUCUCAAAACACAACAUAUCGUUGCUGCAAAGUUUACUUAUUUCAUUUGGCUUACUUUGGUGCUUGCUAUUGCAUCUGGGUGUUGGUUAUUUGGGGCUUAUCUAUAUUGGUUGAUGAAAAUAAGGAAGGUUAAUAGGAGUUCAGGAGAACUCAACGUCUUAGGGUUAUCUUGAAAGGGACGGAAACAUACACAUCCUUUAGCAUUGGCCUUUGCAUAGAUAGACGUUUUCAGCAUAAAAUGUUGAGAUGAAUUUGACAAUUAUGAUUGAAUUUUUUGUGGUUUAUUCAAGAAUGUUCAUCUUCAUAUCUCCUGCCAUUCAUGGCAUCCUUUUGCUAAUUAUUUCCGUUUUCAUCAAGAAAUAAAAACGUUAACUUCAAAUGCUUGUUCAUAAUUGGGUUCAUGUCUUGCUUAGGGCUUCUUUUUUUUCUGUUGAAUGGUCAGAUCUAAUCUAAAUCAACAAGUUCCAAAGGUUUUUUAAGAUAUUUUUUAAACACAAACACAGGAUCAUCGGUUAAUUGCAUAAGUUGACAUUAAAAACGCAUCACUUACCGCUAUAACCAUAUAAUUAUUUUAUAAUAACUUUAUAAUCAUGUAAAAUUUAUCAAAUAUUAAUAUAAAGUUUAUAUCUAAGGAAUAGAUUUUUACAUGAUUUUUCCUUAUAAUUAAAAUAUUUAAUAUUAUAAAAAAAUUCCCAUUAACGACCCACUAAGCCUAAAGCCUACUCAAAUGCAAAAACACAAGCACGUUUAUGAUAAAAAUUUACACUUUUCUACUUCUUCCUUUGUUCAAUUGAUCCCUUGAAGAUGAGAGACACUAAGAGGGAAGAAUGUAAGAAGAAAAAAAUUUAUCUUAAUCCUUAUCAAUUGAUUUUUCUACCAUACUUUUAUUGUUAAGUAAAUUUGGAUAAGUUGAGUUCCGAUGAUUGAAUGGGAUAUAGCCACAAGUGCUAUCCAGCUUUCAAUAGAUAUUUUGAAACCAGAAUAAAGUAGAGACAGCGAGAUCCUUUCAGCGAAGAGUACUUUGUCUCCACGACUACUUUUGUUAUGCCUUUUCUGUUUAGUCACCUUUCCUGAUUGACUUUAAUUGACCGACACAACAAUGUCCUGUGCACCCUCUCUUUACUCUUUUAAUCAAUUACCGUCAGUGGCCUUACGAUUGCCUGUCAAUUUAUCGUUAUCCUAAGCCCUCUCUUCUUACUAUGUUUACUGGAUGGAGGGGACCUGCUCAACUUUUUUUUUUGAUUAUGUGAAACCAAGCCGAAUGUCUUCAAUGCUUUCUUAGUUUUAUGUGCUUAAUAUCUUCUUCUAUUUUCAGCACGUCAUUGUAAUUUGGCUCCCCUGAUAUGGAUGAAAGUUUGAAGAGAGCUGCACAAGAAGGAAAUAUUGUUGAAUUAUAUGCAUCAAUCCAAAGAGAUGGAAAUAUUUUGAGGCACAUCGAUGAGAUUGAGUUCGUUGACACUCCAUUACACAUAGCUGCAGCUCAAGGGUGCAUUGAUUUUGCAAUGGAGAUAAUGAUCUUAAAGCCCUCAUUCGCUAGGAAGCUAAACCACGAAGGGUUUAGUCCCAUUCACCUUGCGGUGGAAAAGGGGCAUAAAGAACUGGCGCUACAUCUCAUGCAAAAUGACAAAAAUCUUGUUCGUGUCAAAGGGAAGCGGGGUGAGACUCCUUUGCACUAUGCAAUACCAAGAGAACAAAAUUUUGAUCUCUUGGCCAGAUUUCUUGAGGCUUGUCCUGAAUGCGUCCGGGAUAUGACAACCACAAACCAGACUGCUUUGCAUAUUGCAACGAGACACAAUAGAUUAGAGGCUCUUGAACUCCUAUGUCGGAUGCUUAGGAAGAGUGACUAUUGUGAGGAUGUGGUGAACCAGAAAGACAGGAAUGGCGACACUGCCUUGCACAUAGCUGCGCGCAAUAAUCAGUCCAAGGUCCGAUCUCUUCCCCUCUUAAUUAGUUUUACUUUUAUCAAAAAAGAAUGGAUUAAUUCUUUAAUUUGGGAUUGUAUUUCAUGGUCAAUUGAUUGUGGCUUUUGUUUGUGUCUCGAACUCUCUAUCAAACAGAUGCUCAAACUGCUAUUAAAAUGCAAGGCUGAUAAGCAUGCGAUCAAUCAAGCUGGUUCAACAGCAGUGGCUGUUGCAAACGAACUUAAUAACAUAGAGAGCAGCAAUAUUUUGCAUGGUUGGGGAAGUGCAAGAGUUUUGAACUUUAAAUAUAAAAUUCAGAAACAAAUUGUCAAGCAUGUGACAAAGGCAUCAGAAGUAAUUUUUCAAGGUAUGGACAGUGUCUCAAGUGAGGAUCGCAACGCCUUACUAGUAAUUUUAGGAUUGCUUCUAACAGCUACCUACCAAGCCAGUAUUAGCCCGCCUGGUAGUGUUUGGCAAGGUGAUGGCUCCUCAAACUCCAAUUCCACUGUAGGACAUCAUGAAAAAUUACCAGGCAAAUCGGUCAUGGAUCAAGUUGAUUUCCUUACUUUUUAUAUUCCAGCCUAUACUGUCUUCAUAGUAGCGUUUUUCCUAACAUUGGGCCUCCUUAAACCUUUCCCCCAUGGUUUCAGGACUUCUCUUCAAGUACUGCUCGCAUUUCUUGCUAUAUCUUUUGACGAAUCAAUAAAUUUCAUAGCGCCAACUAAUUUAGCAUAUCGAGUUAUGUGUUUGUUUUCAACGUUGGUUUUUGUUUUAAUGAUGGUCAUGUGUGUUGCUUACCGGGUAUCAAAAAUUAGCGUUUUCUUUCUAGGGUGUUGGUUAGUGCCUGGUCUGUAUGGUCCAUUUCAGAUAGGAUCCUAUUUAAUUAUAGGGUGCUGGUUAUUCCUUAGUCUAUAUGAUCUAUUCUGGUUAGGAUCCACUUUAAUUGUAGGAUGCGGUUUAAUACUACAACGGUUUCAUUACAUCUGGAUGGUUGUUGCUAUAGUUCCAGUACCCAUGGUAUUACUUGCUUUGUUUCUAUUGUGGAUUGAAGUAGUGCGAUGAGAACGUGGGUUGACAUGCUACCCCUCACAAUAUAUGAACGUUAAAGCUGAAUGAAGCUUUAAAGAUGGCCGCCACUGCAUCUACUACAUAUUUUUUAUUUCCAGUCUUAUAUAUCUAUUUGUUGUAUCAUCAAUAAAUUCAGUUCCUCUUACAUAAACUCUUCUCCACAUUUUGCUUUAUCAUUUCAUCUACUUUCUUUUGCUCAUAAUUUUUGCUGAUGUAUUAUUAUGAAAUUAAUACUCCUCCUAUCUCAAAUUGAAAAUUCACAUUUGACUGGCACAAAAAUAUUGACCAUAAAUUAUUUUAUGUAUAUUAUUGAUAAACUAUAUAAUUUUUAAUUUCAAAAAAUAAACAUAAAUAUAUAUAAUAAAAAAUAAUAUGAAACAAAAAAAAGAGCUAUAACUUAUAGAUGCUCAAGAUUCAAUUUCUUUCACAAAAUCACACUAUUGCUUAAUUACGGAAAAAAAAAAGAUAAAAUAUCCAGACAUUUUUAAGUUUUAAUCAAAAUUACUUUUCAAAAAAAAAUUUUAAUCAAAAUUUAAUGAAAGUUUAUUAAUUUGAGAAAUUGAUAUUCCGUCUCAAAAAAAUAUUUAUUAUUGAACAUAUAAGUCCAAUCAUUAGGCCUUACCACCCAUGUCAAGCCUAUUCUGUUUUUUUUUUACUCUUUCCCUGUUGUAUAUAAUUGAGUGAUUAAACAAGUUUUCAAUAGGUUAAGGUCCAUCCAUUAAAAAAGUUGAGGUCCAUGACAUCCAAAUGAAAAUUUAAAACUAUUGCAUCUAGAACAGGAUUAAAUUAAAUAUUAAGUAUUUGAAAAAUUCGGAGAAAGAUUAUUCACAUUUUGUUAUCUUAUUGGUUCAAAAUAGUUGGAUGAGAGAAGAUUUUAUAAUAAUUCUCCCUAAAUAGAAAAUCACAAAAAUGAAAUCAAAAUCAUGAAAAAUUAUUAGAUAAAUCAUUCUUUAUCACUGUUAGUUAUAAAUUGGACAAAUUAAAAUAUAACACUUAAAAGUGAUCCCUUGAAGAUGAGAGACGCUAGGAGGGAAGAAUGUAAGAAGAAGAAUGUUAGAAACCUAAUGGGUCAAACACAUUAAGUGACAUGAUUGAAAUUAAAUAAGGAUAAUUAAUUAAGUUGGACUUAUUAAAAAAAAUCAAAAUAAAGUGAAAAAUUAAUUAAAUUCACAGAGAUUUAAUUAAAUUAAAAUACAUAUGCUAUAUAUAAAGUUAUAACUUAGUCUGGCUAUAUAAAUAUGUUAUGUUAGUAAAUUAAAACUCAAAACCUCCAAUCACUUAUCAAUCGUUUCAUAAAAUAAGAAAAGAAAAAUAGUUUUCCUUAUUUGACAAAAAAAUGAUUCGGUAAGUAUUUUGGUCUUUUUGUUUUAGAAACAAAAUUUGCUAGUACAAGUAAAAAAUUCUACUUUUGAGAAGGUCUUAUUUGGUCAUUGUAUGGAUUACUGUUAGAGGCCAAACACUUGAGUGACUGAAGUUUUGACAAAUCCUAAAGGUAAAGAAGAAAAGAUUUUGAUUUAAUUAGGCUCUUGAUUACAAUAUUUAGAGUAAGAUAUAUAAUUCUUACUUAUGAAUAUUCAUAAUUAAAUUAAAAAUUACAUUAAAAACACAAAUAUUGAUCUUAUAGGAUUUGAUCGUUUCUCUGAUUAAAUGCUAAUUUAUUAUUCCGUUGCAUUAUAUUUUUAAUUUCUUGAUUAUUUUCAUAUUUGAGCAUGAGAUCGAAUCUUAGUACUAAUAUCAUUUCUUAUUUUCAGCACGUCAUUGUAAUUUGGCUCUCUUGAUAUGGAUGAAAGUUUGAAGAGAGCUGCACAAGAAGGAAAUACUGUUGAAUUAUAUGCAUCAAUCCAAAGAGAUGGAAAUGUUAUGAGACACAUCGAUCAGAUGGAGUUCGUUGACACUCCAUUACAAAUAGCUGCAGCUCAAGGGUGCAUUGAUUUUGCAAUGGAGACAAUGAUCUUAAAGCCGUCAUUCGCUAGGAAGCUAAACCAGGAAGGCUUUAGUCCCAUUCACCUUGCAGUGGAAAAUGGGCAUAAAGAGCUGGCGCUACAUCUCAUGCAAAAUGACAAAAAUCUUGUUCGUCUCAAAGGGAAGCGGGGUGAGACUGUAAUGGACUGACUAAACAAGUUUUCAAUAAGUUAAGGUCCAUCCAUCAAAAAAAUUAAAAAAGUUGAGGUCCAGGACAUCCAAAUGAAAAUUUCAUAUUAUUACAUCUAGCACCGAAUUAAAUUAAAUAUGAAGUUUUUGAAAGAUUUGGUGAUAGAUUAUUCACACUUUGUUAUCUUAUUGGUUCGAAAUAAUUGGAUGAGAGAAAAUUUUAUAAUAAUUCUCCCUAAAUAGAAAAUCCCAAUAAAUGAAAUCAGAAUCAUGAAAAAUUAUUAGAUAAAUCAUUCUUUAUCACUGUUAGUUAUAAAUUGGACAAAUUAAAAUGUAACACAUAAAAGUGAUCCAUUGAAGAAGAAGAAAAUUUAUCCUAAUCCUAAUCAGUUGAUUUUUGUACCAUACUUUUAUUGUUAACAAUUACAUAUUACAAUAGUAUUAAGUAAUUUUUAACAAGUUGAGGUCCAGGGCAUUCAACGGGACGCGUUGAAUAUUAUAUAGCCCCAAGUGCUAUCCAGCAUUCCUCCAUAUUUUCCCUCAUUCAUACCGGCAGCUCCUGUUGUUUUUGUUUUUACGAGCUCUCUCUGCAACCAGGAAAUGGUUGGCUGUUCUGGUUGUCUUCAAGUUUCAGCUUCUGGUUUGGCUGUUUUGCUGUGACUAUCUUCUUAUCGGAUGUUACUUAUGUUUUCUCAAUUUAUAGCUCCGCCAUUGUAUGUGGAUAUUAUUGUCAGCAUCUUGGUGAUUGUUAGUGUUUAUCCAGCAUCUGUGAUUGUUGUUCUCUAAGUUGUUCUACUAGCUUGUUGUCAUGUUGAUUUUUGCUGGUACUAUUAUCUUGUGCAUGCUUCUGUCAUUUGAGUAUCUGUACUGUUUUUUGGAUCAGGCUAUUGCUGAUUCCUCACCGCUUCAUUCAGCUUGUUAAUAAAAUCCGCAUCAUUUUUGGCUGAGAAAAAAAGAAAAAAUUAGAGACAGCCAGAGUUGUGAUCUUAGUGUAUAGUAUUUUGUUUCCACCAAAACUAAUUUCGUUGCUGCCUCUUCUGGUUUUUCAACUUUCCUGAUUGACGGUAAUUGACUGACUCAAUAGCAUCGAGCUUUUACCUGUAAGAACGUUGAGGUUCUCUUUACUCUUUUAAUCAAUUACCUAUAAAUUUGUCAUUAUUCUAAGCCUUCUCAUCUCACUAUGUUAACUGGAUGGAGGGGAGCUCCUCAACUAUUUCUUUUUCAAGUGAAACCAUUCAGGAUUUCCUCCAUGCUCUCUUAAUUACUCUUUUAAUUGCUAUAUAACGUAGCCUAAUCCUUUUUCUAUUUUCUGCAUGUCAUUGUCAGUUGGCUCCCCUGAUAUGGAUGAAAGCUUGAGGAGGGCUGCUCAAGAAGGAGAUAUUGUUGAAAUAUAUGCAUCCAUCCAAAGAGAUGGAGAUGUUUUGAGGCACAUUGAUGAGAUGGAGUUCGUUGACACUCCAUUACAGAUAGCCGCAGCUCAAGGGUGGAUUGAUUUUGCAAUGGAGAUUCGCUAGGAAGCUAAACCCAGAAGAUUUUACACCCAUUCACCUUGCAGAGGAAAAUGGGCAUGAAGAGCUGGCGCUACAUCUCAUGGAAAAUGGCGCUACAUCCAAUUCACCUUUGCACUAUGCAAUAACUAGAGAACAAAAUCUUGGUCUCUUGGCUAGAUUUUUAGAAGCUUGUCCUGAAUGUUUCCGAGAUAUGACAACCACAAAGCAGACUGCUUUGCACAUUGCAACGAGAAACAAUAGAUUAGAAGCUCUUCAACUUCUACGUCGGAUCCUUAGGAAAAGUGACUACUGUCAAGAUGUGAUGAACCAAAAAGACAGGAAUAGUGACACGGCCUUACACAUAGCUGCGCACAAUAAUCAACCCCAGGUCCGAUCUCAUCCCUCAAACUAAUUUUACUUUUAGUAAAAAGGGAAUGGAUUCUUUAUUUUGGAAUUGUAUUGAUGGUCAAUGGAUUAUGGCAUUUAUUUAUGUCUCGAUAAAACAGACGCUCAAACUACUACUAAAAUGCUAGGCUGAUAAGUUUGCGACCAAUCAGGCUGGUUCAACGGCAUUGACUGUUGCACACGAACGUAAUAAAACAGAGAUUGCGGUUGAUCGAUUGUCAUCUCCCUUCCGAGUCUGUUUGUGCGCAACUCUUCAAAAGGGAAUGCUUGCUUGAUGCCGUUGGCUGCUCACAUUGUUGGAGUGGGGCCGCUGCUUUCGUGUUCAAGAAGGUGUGCACGUCUGGCCUGAAACAAUUCAGGAUGUCUAGGGUCCUUUUGCUGUCUCUCUUUCCUUCGGUUGUUUCUACGCUGGCUGCCAUGGUCUUGCUGUCUUAAACGUCCGAAUGCUUUACUCUUUUGGGUGAUCUUGUCCCUUAGGUCCUUACUUCUUUGCUACCAGUUUCGGCUUACGGUUGGCUUGAGUUCUUGUACAAGCUGUUGUUCUUGUUUUGAUGCUGCCAUUCUUCUUGUGCAGUUGAACUAUGUAUUUUCUUGUUUUCCCUUUGCCAAGCCGAUUUUCAUGCCAAGGGAGUCUCAGGCAAUCGCAGCUCGAGACUUUCUUUGACACAUCGAUAGUAUGACAAAAACGUUGAAUGAAGCUCUAAGAAUGGCUGCCACUGCGUCUAGAUAUUUCCUAUUUCCGAUUUUGUAUCUUUAUUUGCUGUACGGCAAUGUACCACCCAAAAUUUCAAUUUCUCCCAAUGCAAAAUCAUCACUACUUUUCCCUUUAUCUUUUAUUCUACGACUUUAUUUCACUUAUAAUUUGUGUUGUAAUAUUCCUUUGUUUCAAAAUGAAACUUUACCUUUGACUUAUCACAGAAAUUAAAAACUAAUUAUUAUAAUUUUAUCAUUUACUGUAAAUUAUUUUAUAAAUAGUUAUUUUCUGUGUUCUGAACUUAUAACACAUUAACCCUAUUGACAACCAUUGGGCUAACAGCAUUUCACCUCCCAGGUGGUUCUAUUGCUCGUGCCACUUUCACUUUUGUGUUCGAGCUACAUGCUCUUCAUAAGCAUCUUAUCCCCGACUCCUCUUUGGUCCAAAUGGAAUACAUUUCAAUCAAUAGUCUUUAUCAUGUUGCUGGUAUUGCAGUUUCCUUUGUGGGGCUUAAGUCGAAGAAAUUGAUGUGUUGUUAGUGUCAGUGGCAGCUACCACGCGGUAAAAAUUGUACAUGUGUAAUUGUUCAUGUAACCAAAUUAUGGUUACUGAUCCCUUGUCUUUUUCCUUUUUCCUCCUUCUUCUCCCCUCUUUCAUGGCUAGUUAGCUAUGUAGCGCCGCUCCAGCACUCGAGGGCGGCCGGUCGAGUUCGUCCAGGCUCUAAACUAGCCUCUCCUUGCCCCCAGUCCUGGAUUGGCAGUGACGGUGGCUCUCCAUAAAUCUAUCAAUAAAUAAUAAUAUCCAAGUACUAUAAAACAGACACACUACUGUCUGAUAGGAGCUGACAAGUUUAAUAUAUAUGCCUCACCAUGUGGAAUAUCUAAAUAUAAUUUUUCCUCUUGCUUUUUUGUUUUCUCUUUUCUGUGUGUUUUGUCUUUAGCUGUAUGGAUAAAACCAAAAUCAAUGCUCAAGCAUUGGAAUUAAAUUAAAUGAAUCCGACGAAUUUUUUCUAUCAUAGUUUUAUUGUUAGCUUACAGUUUUUCUUUUCUCAGCCAUCAUUUUAUUGAUGUGUUCAACGGUGAACAUCUGAGAUACGAAGACAGAGCAAUAAUAAUACAAACAGUAAGCCCUAGCACCCCACGUCACGCCUAAAUUUAUGUUUAUUCCAAUCACCUUUACGCAACAGGCAACACAAGACUUCCUAUCACCAAACCAAAUUAUAGUAGGAAAAUCAGUCACAUAAAACAAUCCCUUAGCCUCAUCAAAGCAGAAAGACAAUAUGACUACAUCCAGUAUAGAAUUGCUUCUGUAAUUUGUGUCAAACACUCGUCCGCCUAUCAGAAUACUCCCUUCCUAAACAGCAAGCACUGGUAUUCGUAAGAUAGUUCGUUCAGUGUUAACUUCUUAAAAGAUAUUAAAUAGAAAAAAUACAACGAAAUAGAAUUUUCACUUAAAUCUAUUUGUUGGAAUGACUUCUAAUGUUUCUGUGAUAUUUAAGAAUCCAAUGAAUCGCAAUCAUUGAAUCCAAUUCAACAAUUAAUUAACGACCUCUUUCCCAACACCAUGAUGAGCGAUGAAAAAUUUUAAGAGCCAUCUCUCCCUUUCUUGACUUCACAUUGAUGUUUUGUUCUUAUGAGCCAAUCAUAAGUUUUGAAUAUUACAUAGCCACAAGUGCCAUCCGCCCUUAAAUAUAUUUUAAACCGGAUUAAGUAGAGAGAGAGAGAGAGAGUUGUCAUCAUAGUGGUCCAAAGAAGUCUGUUUUCUUUAUAUAAAAAAAAUCUAUCCCGGAUUUUACCCUUUUUUACUAUAAUUGACUGACUAAAGAUGAUUUUAAUAACUUGACGUCCAUUCUUUAGGAAAAAAAAUAAGAUGCGGAUGGUUGCAGCCCUUAAACUUUUAAAAUAUUUUUUAUAUUAUAUAUUUAAAAAAUUAAUAAUAAAACAAACAUUAAGCCCUAGCACCCCACGUCAAGCCUAAAUUUAUGUUCAUUCCAAUUACCUUUACGCAACAGGCAACACAAGGCUUCCAAUCACCAAACCAAAUUAUAAUAGGAAAAUCAAUCAUAGCACAAAAUAGCCCUUUUGCCUCAUCAAACCAGAAAGACAAUAUGACUACAUCCAGUAUAGAAUUCUUCUCUAGUUCAUGUCGAGCACUCUUCUGUCUAUCAGAAUACUCAAUAAACACUCAUUUUUGUAAGAGAAUUUUCGUUUAAUAUUAAUUUUUCAAAAGAUAUUAAAUAAGAAAAACAUAACGAAUAAAAUCUUAAAAUAAAUCAAUUUAUUGGAACGACUUCUAAUAUUUCCGUGAUGUUUAAAGAUCCAAUGAAUCGCAUUCAAUAAUUAAUUAACGACUUCUUUCCCAAUCAUGAUGAGUGACGACAAAUUUUAAGAGGAAUCUCUCCCUUUCUUGACUGGACAUUGAUUUUUUGUUCUGAUGACCCAUCCAUAAGUUUUGAAAAUUAGUCACAUAGCCACAAGUGCUAUCCUCCCUUUAAUAUAUUUUAAACCAAAUUCAAGUAGUGAGAGAGAGAGUUGUCAUCAUAGUGGUCCAAAGAAGUCUGUUUUUUUAUAAAAAAAAAUCUAUCCCGGAUUUUGCCUUUUAUUACUACAAUUGACUGACUAAACAUGAUUUUAAUAAGUUGACGUCCAUUCAUUAGAAAAAAAAAAAAAAUAGGGGCGGAUGGUUGCAGCCCCAAAAGUUUUAAAAUAUUUUAUAUAUUACAUAUUUAAAACAUUAAUUCAUAUCAUUAUUAUGAGAACAUGAUAAGAAAAAUAUUAGGACACUUUUUGAAUUGUGCUAAAGAUUAGUAAAAAUAAAAAAAGUCAAUAAAUUACCACUUAAUUAAUAGAUUAAUUUAUCUUGUUUUUAUUCGUCCGGUUUCUACAAUGAGUAUAGAGAAAGUCUUUUUAGUAAUGAAAAUUGUGAAAUUAAGACUUUGAAAUAAAAUAAAUGAUGAGUUUCUUUUAGAUAAUUUAUUUAUUUUAUUGAAAAAGACAUUGUUAACCUUUUUAAUAUAGAAACAAUAAUUGAUAAAUUUAAAUCUAAAAAACAUCAUUGGGUACAACUGUUUUAAAAGACUAUUAUAAGUCUUUCUUUAUUAUUCCUUUUUAUUUACAUGCUACAUAAAAUUAUUAGAUAUUAUGAAUCUUUUGAUUGUUAGUUAAAUUUAACAUAUUAAUUUUAAAAAAUUUUAAUCUUUGUUUCUCUUUGUUUCAAUCCCUCAAUAAAAGUUAACUAUCUCCGCCCUUGGCAGCAUCCAAAUAAAAAUUUUAAUAUUAUUAUAGGUUCAAGGAUGCCUAGUUGUACAUAAUUUUAAAACUCCAUUAAAUUAAACAUAAGUCAUUGAAAGAUUCAAAAAAGAGAGAUUAUUUGCAUUUUAUUAUACUAUUGGUUCCAAGUAGUUGGAUAUAACAAUUGUCAUGCAUAUUUAUGAAAAGUAUAAACUUAUGUAAAAGUUGACACAGCAACUUAUAAGUACAUGUUAUAUUAUGAUAUAUAAGAUUAUGAUCGACAUGGUAAGAAACCUGUAUCUAAUAAAUUGAGGUCAAGUGCUAAAGUAUUUUAGCCAAUUUUUGACCCUCAAACAUCCUCUUAACAACACUAUCUAGUUAAAAUUUGACUUUCAUGACAAACAUCGUCGUGUUAUAGUAACAAGUCAUGAUGUGCUAAUCUUCAGUACUAAUUCUGCAUUGAUAUGAGGUCAUUAAAGACAGACGUUCCAUUAACAAUGAAGAGGAACAACCGAAGAGAAAAUCUUCGUAGCAAAUCUUCCAAGAAAGAUACGAAAGUAGAGACCCAAAAGUAGGACUUCUUGGUGACCUUCAGGAAAGUUUGAGGCUUUUGAAUAUUAUAUGGCCGCAAGUGCUAACCGGCCUUCAAUAUAUAUAUAUAUAUUUAAACAUGUUUAUCCCCUUGAAUAUAUAUUUUCAAUAGUUUAAAAUAUAUAACAAGACACAUUUAUUCGCUUGAACUCCGAACAUGUUUCAUGUUAGUUUCCUCCAAAUUUCCUCUCAGUUUGACGAAAACAGUAAUUCAUUUUAUUCAAUUUCUAUGUCGGCCGUAAUAUUGAAUUUUUUCUUUUUCUUUUUUAAAAAGAAUUUCUUUUUCGUGGACAUUGAUUGCCAGGUCCUGUUGAUCUUCGGUUAAAGAAAGGUUUUUUUAUUUGAUUUUGGUUCUUGAUUUGGAUUCUCCAUUGUAUGUUUUUUUUUGUUUGUGGCUUUUUUUUUGUGAAAUAGUAGUUUUUGACUAAAGAUAGUCAAGUCUUUAGAAAAAUAGUAGGGAGCUUUUUUUUUUUUUUUCUUGUUCCAUUAGCUCAAGUCGAAGAUGUCACUAGAAAUUUGUGAAGCAGAUGUCACUAGAAAUUUUUAACAAAUAACUAAAGACUUUGGAUAACAUAGUGGCUUAGUGCUAAUAAAAUCAACUUUCAAAAGAAAAAAAAACAAGAAAAAGAGCUUUUGCUUUUGCAUUAGUUAAAAAGCACUUUCCCGAUAUUUCUUAAAAGAGUUAUCAACAAUUGACUCAAUAUUAAAUAUAUGUAUUUAUAUUUAAAAAGUUGAGUUAGAAUUCACAAUUUUUUAAAUUAAAUAAAGAUUAUUUGAUAAAAGAAAUGCAAAAUAAAUUUUUUAUGACGUGAUAACGCUAAUCUCAAUUUUUUUUGUGUUAUGUUAACGCCUAAAUAUAUUUUAAUAAAUAAUUAUCAUGAAAAGUUGAGGAUAUUUUAAAGAAAGAACUGUAUCUUUGCUUACUCAAAUAAUGUUUUACAUUAUGCUUACUCGUUAUUUGACUCUAACAACAACUAGACUCAAUUAAAAUCACUUCUUACUAUAUCUUUUCUCAUUUUAGAGUUAUGUCUUUCAAUUUUUUUAUAUCUAAUUAGAAGCUUCCUCUAAUCAUUUAAUUUAUCAACGUAUGGAGGAAGAAAAGUGUUUUGGAUUUGUUGAAGAGAGAGUUGUCAUGUUUAGUGGUCUAAAUUAUUGAAGAUUUUAUAAUAAAUAGAACUGUUUUUUCCACAAAAACUCCUUUAUUCUGCCUUUUCUGCUUUUUAAUCUUUCCUGGUUCAUUAAAAUUAAUAUACUAAAUAGCACCGAGGCUUUUCCUUGUAAGUUCGUCAAGGUACUCCUGUGCAGGGCACCCUCUCUUUACUCGUUCAAUUAAUUGCUGCGAGUGGCCUUAAGUACUAGAUAUUUUCUCUGUUUUAACUACACUCUAAUUAGCCUAAGCCCUUACAAUUACCUAUCAUUUAAUUCCGGAUUUGUAGCCUAAUCCUUUUUCUGUUUUCUGCUUGUCAUUGUAUUUUCGCCCUCUUGAUAUGGAUGAAACUUUGAGGAGGGCUGCUCAAGAAGGAGAUAUUGUUGAAUUAUAUGCAUCCAUCCAAAGAGAUGGAGAUGUUUUGAGGCACAUUGAUGAGAUGCAGUUCGUUGACACUCCAUUACACAUAGCUGCAGCUCAAGGGAGCAUUGAUUUUGCAAUGGAGAUAAUGAUGUUAAUGCCAUCAUUCGCUAGGAAGCUGAACCAAGAAGGCUUUAGUCCCAUUCACCUUGCGGUGGAAAAGGGGCACAAAGAGCUGGCCCUACGUCUCAUACAAAAUGAUAAAAAUCUUGUCCGUGUAAAAGGGAGAAAGGGUGAGACUCCUUUACACUAUGUAAUAACUACAGAACAAAACCUUGACCUCUUGGACGGAUUUCUGGAGGCUUGUCCUGAAUGCAUCCGAGAUAUGACAACCGCAAACCAGACUGCUUUGCACAUUGCAACGGAAAACAAUAGAUUGGGAGCUCUUCACCUCCUAUGUCGGAUGCUUAGGAAGAGUGACGAUUUUCAGGAUGUGGUGAACCUGAGAGACAGGAAUGGCGACACUGCCUUGCACAUAGCUGCACGCAAAAAUCAACUCCAGGUUCAACCUCAUCCCUCUAACUAAUUUUACUUUUAGUGAAAGAGGAAUGGAUUCUUUAUUUUGGGAUUGUAUUUGAUGGUCAAUUAAUUGUAAUUUUAAUUUAUGUCUCAAUCAAACAGAUUCUCAAAUUGCUAUUAAAAUGCAAGGCUGAUAAGUUUGCGACAAAUCAAGUUGGUUUGACGGCACUGGCUGUUGCAGACGAACUUGAUAACAAAGAGAGCAAAAGUAUUCUUCGUGGUUGGCUAGGUGCAAGAGCUUCAACCUGUCAAUAUGUAAUUCGAAAACAAAUGGUCAAGCAUGUGACAAAGGCAUCAAAAGUAAUUUUUCAAGGUAUGGGCAGUAUAUCCAGCGAGGACCGCAACACCUUACUAGUAAUUUUAGGAAUGCUUCUAACAGCUACCUUCCAAGCCAGUAUUAACCCGCCUCGCAGUGUUUUGCAAGAUGAUGGCUCCUCAAACUCCAAGUCCAAUGUAAAUGAAGGACAUGGCAGAUUGGUCAUGGAAGAAGUUAAAUUUCUUAUUUUCUAUGUUCCAGCCUAUACUAUCUUCAUAGUAUCGUUUUUCCUAACGUUGGGCCUCCUUAAACCUUUUCCCCGUGGUUUCAAGACUGCGCUUCAAGUACUACUUGCAUUUCUUGCUGAAUCCUUCGACCAAUCAAUAUCUUUCAUAGCGCCAACUGAUUUAACAUAUAAAGUUAUCAGAAUAUUUUCAGUGUUGGAUUUUAUUUCAAUGAUGUUCAUGUGUAUUGCUUACCGAGUAUCAAGAAUUAGUGUUUUAAUUCUAGGAUGCUGGUUAUUCCCUGGUGUUACUCCAUUGCAAAUAGGAGCCUUCCCAAUUUUAGGGUGCUGGUUAUUCCUCGGUCUAUACGAUCCAUUCUGGAUAGGAUCCAUUUUUAUUUUAGGAUGCAUUUCAGUAUUGUAUGAGUUUUAUUACGCAUAGAUUGUACUUGUUAUAGUUCGAACAUUCUUGUUAUCAGUUGGUAUGCUUCUAUUCUGUUUUGAGCAGUACUGUAUUUUUUAAUCAAAAUAGAGGUGGCAAUUGGGUAAUAAGGUCAGGUCAAUUCCGGUCGAAGAAAAUUUUGUUCAUUUUGGUUUUGGUCAUUGCAAAUCAAAUCAGGUAAUUAGGAUUUGACACUCGAAUUAUUAGAUUUGGAUUAUAUGUGUUCGGGUUAUUUUUAAUUUAAGUGUUGACUUUUUAAGUCAAAUGAAAUUGGAUUUAGAUGAAUUGUUUUCAAUUUAAGUGUUGGCCUUUUAAGUCACAUGGAUUUAGAUUUAAACGAAUUGUUUGAAUUAGAAUAAUUUCGAGUCGGUUAUUCGGGUUGUUUGGGUUCAAGUAGUUUUGAGUUCAGAUCAAUUUAAAUUCAAAUUGUUUUGAAUUCAAGUCCUUUUCAACUUUGGAUCAUGCAAGUUCAGAUUGUUCAUUUUUUUUUUUGGUUAAAAUCAAUUUUAUGGAGUUUGGGUUUGAGUUCAAGAUUAGCUAUGCCAAUUUUAGUCCAAAUUGUUUGUAGUGCAAGGAAAUAUAUAUUUUUUUUGGCAAAUUUCAGGAAAGAAAUUUGAAAUAAAUACAUUGUCUCCUCUUAAGUUUGAUGAAAAUGGUGCAUUAAAUGUAAAAACAUAUUCUAAAGUAAUAUUUUGAUCUAUCUUAUUUUUUUAAUAAAGUCAGUUUUAUUGACCUCUUCAACCAGCAUGCCAUUGUAAGUCUCUAACCAAAGCGGAGAAGACUUGCUAUGGCAUAAAUUUUUCAUGGUUAAUUUGGGCAAAAUAUAACCUGCGUAGUUACAAAAUGAUAUACCACUUAAAAAACAAUAUCGGCGUGUACCCACAGAUUUAUCAAAACCGCUAUCAUAAUCAAAGCUCAACUAAAUCCAAGUACCUAACAUUUGCAUUUAAUCUCUUCAAGAUUAAAUUUACAAGGGUUCUGAUACCCCAAGGAAUAGUUUAGUAAGAACAAUUUAUUUUUUCCUUAAAAAAAAUUGAAGUAGAAGAAGAAAAAGUUUGGCAACAACGGCUUCCUGCCUCUUACCAACCUUGUUGCUGUCGUGAUUUGGGACCAAGAAGUCUUGUUGCUAGUUGUUGUAUAUAUAGGAACAAGCCAUUACCAUUUAAUCACAAAUACUUUCAAAUCACAAAAAAAAAAUGUGAUUCAACUGCCAUUUAAUCAAUUUUAAUUUGGUGGAUACCUACUUCUUUCUCAACCACAGAAAAUAUGUACUACUACAAGUACAUAAUCAAAGCCGAUUUAUCACUCAAAAUGAUAUACCACUCAAAAAACAAUAUCGGCGUGUACCCACAGAUUUAUCAAAACCGCUAUCAUAAUCAAAGCUCAACUAAAUCCAAGUACCUGACAUUUGCAUUUAAUAUAUAAAAAAUUUUAAAAAUUUUGGGGGAUCCGCUCAACUUUAUAACAUGAACACAGUCCUCACUCAAAAGCUUGCAGCUGGAAUGCAGUUUAGGACAGGUAACCAUAAAUUUUGGGCAGGAUAACGUAUUUCCAAAUGCAUAACCAUACCCUUUUUGUCUCCAUAGUUGACUGACUUCCCAAGAUAGCUGUGGCUUUCUCUACAGAAAAUGUUGUUUUCGCAUAAAGACAUGAGCUUCAACUUCAAAUUAAGGUCGAAAAAACCUCUCAUAUGCAGAUAGAGAAAGCACAAUCUAAGAGUCAUUAUUUUCAUGUAACAUAUCUUAUAUAUCAUAAUUUAUGUAGUAACUGACAGCUCAACCAAACGUAAAUAGGAACAUGGAAAAAGUAGCUUGACGGGUGCAUGUAGGGAUAUAUACACGAAUCACUUCGAUCAGUGUGGACCCAAGGUUGAGGGAGGCAGCUCGAACCUGAAACACAUGUUAAUUUCGAAAGAUUAAAAAUUUUAAUAACUUUGCUAUAAAUAAAUAUUAAAAGUUUGGAUAUUGACCUGAUCUUACAAAGAAAUUAAAAUCAUAAUUUUCAAAAAAAAGAAUAAACAACAUUUAAUCACCAAAAUUAUAUUAAAAUAUUAACUAACAUUAUAUUAUCAUUUUUUCAAUUGAGAAAAUGAGGGAUUUAAUUUGAAUUUAACUGUUUUAAUAAGGGAUACAUACACCUUUCAUUAAAUGCUUGGAUGUUAUAUCAAUUUUUGAAUAUAAUAAUUUUUUUUUGGAUUUAAUAUAAAAUAUGCUAUAAAUCAAAGAUGUUUUAAAAUUUUCUUGAAAACUAAAUAAAAAUAAAGAAAAUGAGAUGAAAAGAGUAUUAGUUUAAUUGGAUUAAACCUAUGCAAUUAGAAAUAAUCAUGAAAAUCAUGUGUUCUCUAUUACACAACAUAUGUACUUUAUUUGAAAUCCAAAUCCUCCCUUUUAAGUAUUUAACUUUCCAAAUGUAAACUUAAAGAACAUAGUUAGAAAUUUGGCAAGCAAAAUAAAUAUAUUUUCUAAUUUAUUAAAUGAAAACAUAAUUAUACUACUAUAUAUAAGCAAAAUAACAUAAGCUUAAAAACUUAUCCAUGAUGUCAUGUCCCUCAUCAUCAUCGAUGUUCAUUCUCUUGUUUCAUUAACUCCAUUGAAUCUGCCAACGGUACCUAAGUUGGCAAAUGUGACAUUUUCUUUAUCCAGAUUUUCACUCGCGUCUUUUCUUCCAUUCUAUCAACGUCUUUGUUAAUGUUAUUAAUUUCAUGGUAAUGAUUCUCUCUUUUACUAAUGUUAAAUGAAGCGGACUUAUGUAUCAGUCAUAAUUUAAUUAUAUUUUUAAGUAAAUUAAUCACAAAUAAUUUCAAAUCACAAAAAAAAUGUGAUUCAACUGCCAUUUGAUUAAUUUUAAUUUGGUGGAUACCUACUUCUUUCUCAGCCACAGAAAAUAUGUACUACUACAAGUAGACUAAACCCUUCCAAUUGUUUUCCUGUAAUUAUUAUUAAAUCUUAUCGAUGGAUGAAAGGUUAAGAAGUGCAGUACAAUCAGAAAAUAUAGAUGCCUUGUAUGCAUUAAUCGAAGAUGACGUGGAUGUUCUACGACGCAUCGAUGAGAUGGAGUUUGUUGAUACUCCACUGCACAUAGCUGCAAGCCUGCAACUGCAGGGCACACUGAUUUUGCAAUGAAGAUGAAUAACUCCUUAAACAUUCGCUUAGCAAAAAAAAAAACUCCUUAAACAUUCAUCGACAGUUUGACCAAUAUUAUGUAUAAGCAACAAAAUAAAUAAAUUCCUUUUUACCGUCAAGUAUUGUUGAUAUAUUUUUAAAAUAAAAGAUUGUGUUUUCAUACGAAGAGUUAGUUUAACUUAAAAAUUAUGUUAUAUAGUAUGAUUAUUAGAUUAUAAAUGUAUUUUUUUUUAUGAAUAAUUAUAUCUAAAAAAAUCCCUUGAAGGCGGGAGACUCCGGGAGGGAAGAAUCUUUCAUCCUUAUCACUUGAGUUUUGCCCGUGGCAUUCAAUGGAACUUUUGAAUAUUAUAUGGCCACAAGUGCUAUCCAGCCUUCAAUAUAAAUUUUAAAACCAGAAUAAAGUAGAGAGAGAGAGAGAGAGAAAGCAAAAUUCCAAGCCUGUGACAAAGGCAUCAGAAGUAAUUUUUCAGGGUAUGGACAAUGUAUCAAGCGAGGAUCGCAAUGCCUUACUAGUAGUCUUAGGAUUGCUUCUAGCAGCUACCUACCAAGCCAGUAUUAGCCCGCCUGGUAGUGUUUGGCAAGGUGGUGCUUGCUCAAACUCAAUUCCACAAUACAUGAAAAAAUACCGUGCACAUGGAUCCCGUGGGAUGUUAAUUUCCUUCUUUUCUAUAUUCCAGCCUAUACUGUCUUCAUAGUAGCGUUCUUCCUAACAUUGGGCCUCCUUAAACCUUUUCCCCAUGGUUUCAGGACUGCCCUUCAAGUACUACUUGCAUUUCUUGCUAUAUCUUUCGAGGAAGCAGUAUGUUUAACAGUACCAACGCCAUUAGCAUUUCGAGUUAUGAGUAUGUUUUCAGUGGUGCUUUUUAUUUUAAUGAUGUUCAUGUGUAUUGCUUAUCGGGUAUCAAAACUUAGCGUUUUUAAUUUUAGGAUGUUGGUUAUCCCCUAGUGUGUUUAACACAUUAUACCAAGGAACCUUUAACUUUAAUUACGUUUGGAUUAUAGUUGUUACAAUGUCAGUAUCCAUGGUUUUACUUGGAUUGUUUCCACUGUGGAUGGAUUAGGACGAUGUGAACGUCCGUUGACAUGGCCACCCCUCAGGAUAUAUGGAUGUUUUUGGUUGUAAAGUUUGCUCAAGUUGUUGUUUUGUGUGUUUUUUACGUAAGGAGAGCACUACGUGUUCUGUUUUUGGUUGUAUGUUGUUUCCAAUUUUAUAUAUCUAUUUGUUCUACCAAUAAAUUCAAUUCCUCUUAUUUAAACCCUUCUCUUCAUUUCACUUUAUCUUUUGUUCUAUUUUCUUUUGCUUAUAAUUUGUGUUGAUGUAUUAUUAUUAUUAUGAAAUUAAUACUCUUAUCUCAAAUUAAUUGACUCGUACAUCAAUUAAAAAAAAUUGACUUUAAUAUUUAUUGUAAAUUAUUUUAUAUUUGGUGUUGAUAAAUUAUAUAAUUUUUAACAUUAAGUAUUUGAUUUAUUAAUUGAUGUAUAAAUUAGAGAUACGCAAGAUUCAAUUUCUUUCGCUAAAGCAUAUUAUUGCUUAAUUACGAAAAAAUAAUCUUUGCGAUGAGAAUUUCUAUGACCUUUUGGGUUAAAUCAAAUAUGACAAUGUUUGCUUAGCUGUAUGGAUAAAAUCAACAUGCACGCUUAGUUAUGGCUCAUCCCCUAUGGCCAUCCAUGGCAUCCUUUGGCUAAUUACUUUCAUUUUCAUCAAGAAAUAAAAACGUUAACUUCGAAUGCUUGUUUCACAAUUGGGUUCACAUCUUGCGCAGGCUUGGACUAAUAGGCUAAUCUAAGCUUUUUUUUUUUUCCCGCUGAAUGGCCGGAUUUAAUUUAACUCGAUAAUUGCAUAAGUUGACAUUAAAAACAUAUCACUUACUAUUAUUACGCUAUUAUUAUUUAAUAAUAACUUUAUAAUUAUGUAAAAUUUAUCAAAUAUUAUAUAAAGUUUAUAUUUAAAUAAUAGAUUUUUACAUGAUUUUUCCUUAUAAUUAAAAUAUUUAAUAUUAGAGAAAAAGUCUCAUUAACGACGCACUAAGCCUAAGCAUUACUCAAAUGCGUAAAGACAAGCACGUUUAUGAUAAAAAUUUUCACUUUUCUACUUUGUCCUUUGUAUCUCUUGAUCCCUUGAAGACGAGAGACAGCGAGAGGGAAGAAUGCAAGAAGAAGAAAAUUUAUCUUAAUCCUUAUCAAUUGGUUUUUCUACUAUACUUUUAUUGUUAAGUAAAUUUUGAUAAGUUGAGUUCUGAUGAUUGAAUAUGAUAUACCAGCUUUCAAUAUUUUAAAACCAGUAAGGUAGAGACAGCGAGAGUUAUCCUUUUAGUGAAUACUACUUUGUCUUCCCGAUAACUACUUCUGUUUAUGCCUUAUCUGUUUUGCACAUAGCUGCGCGCAAUAAUCAACCCAAGGUCCGAUCUCUUCCCCUCUUAAUUAAUUUUACUUUUACCAAAAAAGAAUGGAUUAAUUCUUUAAUUUGGGAUUGUAUUUCACGGUCAAUUGAUUGUGGCUUUUGUUUAUGUCUCAAACUGCUAUUAAAAUGCAAGGCUGAUAAGCGUGCGACCAAUCAAGCUGGUUCAACGACACUGGCUGUUGCAAACGAACUUAAUAACAUAGACAGCAUUAAUAUUCUGCAUGGUUGGCGAAGUGCAAGAGUUCUAAACUUUGAACAUAAAAUUCAGAAGCAAAUGGUCAAGCACGUGACAAAGGCAUCAGAAGUAAUUUUCCAAGGUGUGGACAGUAUAUCAAGUGAGGAUCGCAAUGCCUUACUAGUAAUUUUAGGAGUGCUUCUAACAGCGACCUACCAAGCCAGUAUUAGCCCGCCUGUUAGUGUUUGGCAAGGUGAUGGCUCCUCUAACUCCAAUUCCACUGUAGGACAUCAUGGAAAAUUACCAGGCAAAUCGGUCAUGGAUCAAGCUAAUUUCCCUUUUUUCUAUAUUCCAGCCUAUACUGUCUUCAUAGUAGCGUUUUUCUUAACAUUGGGCCUCCUUAAACCUUUCCCCCAUGGUUUCAGGACUUCUCUUCAAGUGCUACUUGCAUUUCUUGCUAUAUCUUUCGACGGAUCAAUAACUUCAUAGUGCCAACUAAUUUAGCACUUUUAGUUGUGUGUUUGUUUUCAACGUUGGUUUUUGUUUUAAUGAUGGUCAUGUGUGUUGCUUACCGGGUACAAAAAAUUAGCGUUUUAUUUUUAGGAUGCUGGUUAGUGCCUGGUCUGUAUGGCCCAUUUCAGACAGGAUCCUAUUUAAUUAUAGGUUGCUGGUUAUUUUUUAAUCUACAUGAUCUAUUCUGGAUACGUUCCACUUUAAUUGUAGGAUGCAUUUAGUACUACAACGGUUUCAUUACCUCUGGAUGGUAGUUGCUGUAGUUUCAGUACCCAUGGUAUUACUUGCUUUGUUUCUAUUGUGGAUAGAAGUAGUGCGAUGAGAACGUGGGUUAACACUGAAUGAAGCUCUAAAGAUGGCGUUAUCUCUAUUUGUUGUACCUUCAAUAAAUUCAAUUCCUUUUACAUAAACUCUUCUCCACAUUUUACUUUAUCAUUUCAUCUACUUUGUUUUGCUUAUAAUUUGUUCUGAUCUAUUAUUAUGAAAUUAAUACUCCUUCUAUCUCAAUUUGAAAAUUCACAUUUGACUGGCACAAAAUAUUGACUAUAAAUUAUUUUAUGCAUAUUAUUGAUAAACUAUAUAAUUUUUUAUUUCAAAAAGAAAAUAUAAAUAUAUAUAUAUAAUAAAAAUUAAUAUGAAACAAAAAAAAAAGUAAGAGCUAUAACUUAUAGAUGCUCAAGAUUCAAUUUCUUUCGCAAAAUCACACUAUUCCUUAAUUACAGAAGAAGAAAAAAAAGUAAAAUACUCAAACACCUCUAAGUUUUAAUUAAAAUUACCUUUCAAAAAAAAAGUUUUAACCAAAAUUAAAUGGAGGUCUAUUAAUUUGAGAAAUAGACACUCUAUCUUAAAAGAAUAUCUAUUGCUGGACACAUAAAUUCAAUUGUUAGCCAAGCUUUAAGAUUUCGAUUAGUUUGCUGACGUGAUAAUAUCUUUGAGACAACUUUAUCCUCGAAUAUGUCAAAAGUUACAAUACUAUAUAAACUUUUAUUUUUUAUUUUUUAUUUUUUUCUUAAAAAAAACUACCUACCUUCUCUAGCCAGAUCCAAUCGGAAUAUCGCACUCCUUCAAGAGAAUGCUAAGGUCGCGCUCCCUUCUGAGGGAACUGUUGUGCUCCAUCAAGGGAAUUGUCGUGCUCCCUCAAGGAAGCGCCAGAGCUCCCCUCUGGGUGCAAUUUUGAGCUCCAGAUCGCGUCAAAUCUAGCACUCCUCGAUGUUGAGGAAUGCAAAAUCUAGCCACAAGGUAGUCGACUGGCUAGUCAAAUUGUCUAAAAAAUGAAAAUUUGACAGAAAGAGGAAAGAGUAUUUUAGUUUUAUUAAUUUUUUUGUUAAUGGUGUUAAGAUUUUUGGGUGUAAGUGUCUAUUUUCUAAAUUAAUAAACUUACAUGUAAUUUUGAUCAAAACUUAACGGUGUAUGGGUAUUUUACCAAAAAAAAAAAAUCAGUGUGCAUGGGAGAAUUUCUAUGACCUUUAGGUUAAAUCAAAUAUGACAAUGUUUGCUUAGCUGCAUGGAUAAGGAAGGUUAACACGAGUUCAGGAGAGCUUACCGUCUCAGUGUUAUCUUAAAAGGGAUGGAAACAUACACAUCCUCUAGCAAUAUCGGCCUUUGCAUAGAUAGAUGUUUUCAACAUAAAAUGUUGAGUUGAAUUUGAUAAUGUUCAUUGAAUUGAAAUGUUCAUCUUCUUCCCCAGUUCCUGUCUCCAUCUAUCACAUUCUUUUGCUAAAUAUUUUCAUUCUCAUCAAGAAAUAAAAACGUUAAGAACUUCAAAUGCUUGUUUGUGAUUUUGGGUUCACAUCUAGCUUAGGCUUGGACUAAUAGGUCGGCUCAAGCUUUGCUCUUCUUUUUUGGCUGAAUGGCCCAAUCAAAUCUAGCUCGAAAUGCUCAGUAAGAUGUUUCAAACACCCAUCUGUAGUACAAGCCAUAUCUAAGUUACUAACACUUAUACAUAUACACCCAUCACAAUCCUGAUCAAUUGAUUGUUCUACCACAGCUUUACUGUUAGCUUACAGUUUUUUUCUUAGCCAUCAUUUUAUUAAUGUUUUCAAUAACGAACAUUCGAGAUAAGAAGACAGAGCCAGAGCAAAACAGAGCAACAAUAAUACAAACGUCAAGGCCUACCACCCACGUCGAGCCUUUUCUCUUUUUGUUUUUGUUUUUAAUCUUUUCUUGUUGAUUGUAAUUGACUGACUAAACAAGUUUCCAAUAAGUUAAGGUCCAUCCAUUAAAAAAGUUUAAAAAGUUGAGGUCCAGGACAUCCAAAAUGAAAAUUUAAUAUUAUUACAUUUAGAACCGGAUUAAAUUAAAUAUUAAGUAUUUGAAAGAUUUGGAGAAAUAAUUGAAUGAGAGAAAAUUUUAUAAUAAUUCUCCCUAAAUAGAAAAUCCCAAUAAAUGAAAUCAGAAUCAUGACAUAUUAUUAGAUAAAUCAUUAUUUAUCACUGUUAGUUAUAAAUUAGACAAAUUAAAAUGUAACACAUAAAAGUGAUCCCUUGAAGAUGGGAGGCACUGGGAGGGAAGAAUGUAAGAAGAAGAAAAUUUAUCCUAAUCCUUAUCAGUUAAUUUUUGUACCAUACUUUUAUUGUUAACAAUUACAUAUUAUAAUAGUAUUAAGUAAUUUUUAACGAGUUGAGGUCCAGGGCAAUCAACGGGACGUGUUGAAUAUUAUAUAGCCACUGGUGCUAUCCAGCAUUCCUAGGAUAUUUUCUCUCAUUCAUGCCGGUAGCUCCUGUUGUUUUCGUUUUUAUGAGCUCUCUCUGCAACCAAGAAAUGGUUGGCUGUUCUGGUUGUCUUCAAGUUUCAGCUUCUGGUUUGGCUGUUUUGCUGUGACUGUCUUCAUAUCCGAUGUUACUUAUGUUUUCUCAAUUUAUAGCUCCGCCAUUGUAUGUGGAUAUUAUUCUCAGCAUCUUGGUGAUUGUUAGUGUUUAUCCAGCAUCUUUGAUUGUUAUUCUCUAAGUUGUUCUACCAGCUUGUUGUCAUGUUGAUUUUUUCUGGUCCUAUUACCUUGUGCUGAUGCUUCUGUCAUUUGAGUAUCUGAACUAUUUUUUGGAUCAGCCUAUUGCUGAUUCCUCGCCGCUUCAUCCAGCUUGUUAAUAAAAUCCACAUCUUUUUUGGCUGACAAAAAAAAAAAUUAGAGACAGCCAGAGUUGUCAUCUUAGUGUAUAGUACUUUGUUUCCACGAAAACUAAUUUUGUUGCUGCGUUUUCUGUUUUUUCAACUUUCCUGAUUGACUUUCAUUGACCGACUUAAUAGUAUCGAGCUUUUAUAUCGUGGAAAUUGCCCAAAAAACAACAAAGAUAACACUUAGAGAAAUCAAACAAAUAAAAAAAUACAAACAUUUACAUGGUUUGGCCUCUUGCCUACGUCCACGAAAUGAAACUGUUUUUUUUAUUAUUGAGAAAUUAAAGUACAAUAAAUUGACCUCUAUGGUUCCCCAAACCAACUCAAGAUCUUUUGCACACUCUUUCUCAAUAACCUCCCAAGAACAUUUACCAAACCACUCUAGCUACACUUAGAGCAAAAGGCAAAGUUACAAGGUGUCCCCUCUCUAGAGUUUUCAAAACACUACUUGCAAUUCUAAAGCCUAGAGAUCUACUUUUAUAGUAUAAAAAUCCAAAGUAGAAUAUGAUUCGGACUCGAUGUGGAAUAAGAAGUUUAAAACUAUACAACUACUUAAUAUUAUAAACAAACAAGAAUCCCAAUCAAAUAAAAUCUAUAAUUCUAGUCAACCUAAAACUCAGCAAAUCUCCACCUUUGACUUGAAUUCAAACUCCUUAAACCUCUUCCACCAGUCACACCUAAUUGAAACUUCCUAUUGCACCUACUUUCCAACACUUUGAACAACUCUCCAAACAUAAGACUUUCCAAAUCAUUGGCCUUUAUAAUUACCACGACUACACAUACUGAAUCAAGCAUGGUCCAACACUCGAUUCUACAAAACGGCCAAUGCACUUGUGUAGCUGUCAAGUCAAUGGCACUAAUUGACUUUGGAAAGGGACCUUGACGACCCUUCCAAUUCAUUACUGACAAGAUUUUUCUUUCUUUCACCAUCGUCUACACCAUGGGAACCUUCCAUCACCUCCUCGGCAAAUGAAAUCUCACUUUGGUAGCUAUCAUCUCUUAUGCAUUGUUCCCAUCCUUUCGAGGCCUCACAUUCUAGACGAUACAAGCCAUUAUGCAAAUUCCCUCUCAUCAGGACCAUGUCGCCUUGUGUGACUUUUACCACUCCAUCACAAGCUUAAUAUUCAUUCCCUUUGGAGUCUAACAGGCUCAAUGAUAUUAGAUUUUUACACAUCUUUGGGACAUUAGCCACACCACCCAAAGAGCGCACAACCCCAUCAAACAUUUUGAUUUUCACCACUCCAAGACCCAUGACCUUCACUAUUGACUUAUUACCCAAAGUCAAAUUCCCAACCACCCCUUCUUAAAGUAAAUCAAAACAAUCUUUUUGAUAACAUAUGUGAGUGACAGAAGCAGAAUCUAAAUACCAAUAAGAAUUUGUAUUCAUAUUUUUUGAAAUUGUAAGGACAUCACAAUCAUCACCUUUAGUAACGAAAGCACACUCACCUUUGUUCUCGUUACUUUCAUCCCCUUUUGUAGGACAAUCCCUUUUAAUUUGUCCAUACCUUUGCAUUGAAAGCACUGAACAUUGUUGGAUCUAGACUUGCCACCCUUAGAUCUCAUACCGGUUGACUUCCUCUUACGAACCUCAAUUACCAAUGCCAAGCCACUUGGAUCUCUAUCCCAUUCCUUACUUUUCUUUUGGGCUUCACGAGACAUUAACAUUGCUUGUGCUUGAUCUAACGUUAUUGUAUCCAUCCCACAUAUCAGAGAUUCCACAAAUACCUCAUAGGAAUCUAGAAGCGAAGCUAGGAACAAUAGUGCAUUUUCCUCUUAUUGCACCUUCACAUCAGCCUUCUUCAACUGAUCAAUGAUCCCAUUGAAAUCAUUCAUAUGCUUCAUGAGGUCUCCAUUCUCCUCCAUCUUUAAGUGAUACAACUUUCACCUAAGCUGCAACUUGUUGGAAAGACUUUUCGUCAAGUAAAUGUUCUCUAACUUUACCCACAAUCUUGGAGCAUAAUCCUCAUCAAUAACAUGGUUAAACACGUUAUCUCCAAUGCAAAGUUGAAUACUGCUCACACACCUUUGCUCUAACUUUGCCCAUUCAACUUCCUUCAUGUUAUCUGGUUGCCCUUCCUCCUUUCCUAGCAAGGGGUGCAUUAACCCUUGCUGCACAAAGAGAUCUUUCAUCCUUCUCUGCCACUACGUGAAACUAGUCUUCCCAUCAAACUUCUCAAUUGACAAAUUCAUAGAACUAGUGACUUUCGACAUCCUUGUUGAAUCUUUAAUUUACCAAACCCGAAGCUCUGAUACCAGUUUGUUGUGGAAAUUUCCCAAGAAACAACAAAGAUAACACCCAAAAAAAUCAAGCAAAUAGAAAAACACAAGAAUUUACGUAGUUCAGCCUUUUACCUACGUCCACGAAGUGAAACUAUUCUUUCUAUUAUUGAGAAAUUAAAGUACAAUAAAUUGACCUCUAUGGUUCCCCAAACCAACCCAAGAUCCCUUGCAUACUCUUUCUCAAUAACCUCCCAAGAACACUCACCCAAACCACUCUAACUCUACCUAGAGCAAAAGAUAGAGUUACAAGGUGUCUCCUCUCUAGAGCUUUCAAAGCACUAUUUGCAAUUCUAAAGCCUAGAGAUCUACUUUUAUAGUAUAAAAGUCCAAAUUAGAAUGUGAUUAGAACUCGACGUGAAAUAAGAAGUUUAAAACCAUAUAACUACUUAAUAUUAUACACAAACAAGAAUCCUAAUCAAAUAAGAUCUAGAAUUCUAGUCAACCUAAAACUUAACAUUUUACUUGUAAGUAAGUCGAGGUUUUCUUUACUCUUUUAAUCAAUUACCUAUAAAUUUAUCAUUAUUAUAAGCCUUUUCAUCUCACUAUGUUAACUAGAUGGAGGGGAGCUCCUCAACUAUUUCUUUUUCAAAUGAAACCAUUCAGGAUUUCCUUCAUGCCCUCUUAAUUACCCUUUUAAUUGCUAUAUAAAGUGGCCUAAUCCUUUUUCUAUUUUCUGCAUGUCAUUGUCAGUUGGCUCCCCUAAUAUGGAUGAAUGCUUGAGGAAGGCUACUCAAAAAGGAGAUAUUGUUGAAAUAUAUGCAUCAAUCCAAAGAGAUGGAGAUAUUUUCAGGCACAUUGGUGAGAUGGAGUUCGUUGACACUCCAUUACACAUAGCUGCACCUUGAGGGUGGAUUGAUUUUGCAAUGGAGAUAAUGAUCUUUAAGCCGUCAUUCGCUAAGAAGCUAAACCCAGAAGGUUUUACUCCCAUUCACCUUGCAGUGGAAAAUGGGCAUGAAGAGCUGGCACUACAUCCCAUUCACCUUUGCACUGUGCAAUAACUAGAGAACAAAAUCUUGAACUGUUGGCUAGAUUUUUAGAAGCUUGUCUUGAAUGUUUUCGAGAUAUGACAACUACAAAGCAGACUACUUUGCACAUUGCAACGAGAAACAAUAGAUUGGAAGCUCUUCAACUUCUAUGUCGGAUGCUUAGGAAAAGUGACUACUGUCAAGAUGUGGUGAACCAAAAAGACAGGAAUGGUGACACGGCCUUACACAUAGCUGUGCACAAUAAUCAACCCCAGGUCCGAUCUCAUCCCUUCAAACUAAUUUUACUUUUAGUAAAAAAGGAAUGGAUUCUUUAUUUUGGAAUGGUAUUGAUGGUCAAUGAAUUAUGGCUUUUAUUUAUGUCUCGAUAAAACAGAUGCUCAAACUACUACUAAAAUGCAAGGCUAAUUAGUUUGCGACCAAUCAGGCUGGUUCAACGGCAUUGACUGUUGCACAUGAACGUAAUAACACAAAGAGCAUUAAUAUUCUGCGUGGUUGGCGAAGUGCAAGCUUUUUCAACUUUCAACGUACGAAUUGUACACAAAUGUAUGUGACAAAGGCAUUAAAAGUAAUUUUUGAGGGUAUGGAUAGUAUAUCAAGUGAGGACCGCAAUGCCUUACUAGUACUUUUAAGAUUGCUUCUAACAGCUACCUACCAAGCUAGUAUUAGCCCUCUUGGUAGUGUUUGGCAAGGUGAUUCUUCCUCAAACUCCACUUCCACUCAAGUAUAUGAUGAACAAGUACCGAGCAAAUCGGUCAUGACUGAAACUUAAUUUCUUUUUUUCUAUAUUCCAGCCAAUACCGUCUUUAUAGUAACGUUUUUUCUAACAUUGGGCCUCCUUAAACCUUUUCCCUAUGGUUUCAGGACUGCCCUUCAAGUACUACUUGCAUUUCUUGCUAUAUCCUUCGACGAAUCAGUAUCUUUUAUAGAGCCAACUUAUUUAUCACUUUUAGUUAUCCAUACAUUUUCAGUGCUAAUUUUUAUUUUAAUGAUGCUCAUGUGUGUUGCUUAUCGGGUAUCAAAAAUUAGUGUUUUAAUUCUAGGAUGUUGGUUAAUGCUGGUUAAUGCUUGAUCUGUAUCAUUCAGUUUGGUUUAGACCCUUUUUAAUUCUAGAGUUUUGGUUAAUGCUUGGUCUAUGUGAUCCAUUAUGGAUAGGAUUCAUUUUCGUUGUAGGAUGUGUUUUAGCAAUAUUGAGGACUUUAACAUCCACAUAAUUGUUAUAGUUCCUGUAUCCUCAUUAGUACUAACUCUGUUUCUACACUAGAUAAAAGUAGUACAAUGAGAACGUUGGUCGACAUACCACCCCUCAAGAUAUAUUGUCGAUCCCUUUGGUUGUCUCUUUGUUAGUUUGUUUCUUGAGGAUUUCUACUGAAGAGUGGAGUGGUAAGAAGGGAGGGUUUUUUUUUUUUUCGUGGCGGUUGCGUUUUGUCUUUCUGUCUCUGAGGGUUGGGUUGUGGGCAAGGGUGGUCUCCUUCAAAGGCUUGGAAAGAUGAGAGUGGAUCAGCAGGGGUGGGGAGUUGAGGGUGUUAGAAAAAUUAGCAACAAAGGAAAAUAAAACAAGUAAAAACAGUAAUUGGUCUGGGGCGUGGUAUCACUGUCCUUAAGGAUAAUUUUCGCCUCUUCGGAGUAUAAAACUCUAUGCAAAAGGACUGUAGCGAUUAUCCUCCAAGAUUCAACAGACCCUUUCUUAUAGUUUGCACAAACUAUUAAGGGAUGACAGGAAUAGCAGAAAAGUUGAAACCCAACUAGAAAAUAAAGGAGGCAAAGAAAGCUUAAGGGAAGAAAGGAGGCAGAGGAAAUUAGUCGAGAAAGCUUAAGAAAAGAAAAGCUUUGGUGUGUGUUGUGAGUGAUAGUGUGAGGCUGUAUUUAUAAAAACCUGGUCAGCAUUUAACUAAGUCAGAUAAACGUUGGAGCAAAACCAGGAUAAACGUUGAGCAAAACUAGGAGAACCAAGUAAGCAUGAUAGAGUUUGAGUUUCAUUUAAUCAAAGGCUGAAAAAGCUUAAAAAAAUUAAAGUCAAGGAACAAAAAGUCACUUGAGCUCAGCCCAUGUGUAUAUUAGCGAGCAUGGGGGGAAUUUGAAAUUUCUAAAGGUUUGGCCCAAUCUUGUGUUUGAGCGAGCCCACUCCGUUUUCCUUACUUGCAACAAGCCCAUAGUUGGUUUUCAUAUAUAAAGUAUUCACAUUUUAUGUAUCUUGGCAAUAUGAGAUGUUUGAACCUUAUGAAAUACAUUAUUUUCCAACAGAGGGUUUUCUUCGGUUUUCUUUCUUUGUGCUCCUCUUCUGUGAUCGGGCACCUCAUUUCUUGUGCUGGGGUGCUUUGGUGGGAUGAAGCUGCUUGGUGAGUCCUUGUGCAAUGCUCUCUCUCCAAGGAUCAAAGGUGGUUCCUGGCGCGUGCUGUGCUGCAAUGAUCCGUUCCAAGAGUUGCUGCAGCCCAGUCUCCUCCUUGAUGGAUUGUCAUUUCCCUUGCGAGUCUGUUUGUUGGCAAUCCUUCAAAGGGGAAUGUUUGCUGGAUUCUGUUGGCUGCUCACAUUGUUGGAGUGGGGCCGCUGCUUUCGUCUUCAAGAAGGUGCGCACGUCUGGCCUGGAUCAAUUCAGGAUGUCUAGGGUCCUUUUGCUGUCUCUCUUUCCUUCGGUUGUUUCUACGCUGGCUACCGUGGUAUUUGCUGUCUUAAACGUCCCAAUGUCUUACUCUUUUGGGUGAUCUUGUCCGUUAGGUCCUUACUUCUUUCCUACCAGUUUCAGCUUACGGUUGGCUUGAGUUCUUGUAUAAGCUAUUGUUCUUGUUUUAACGCUGCCAUUCUUCUUGUGCAGUUGAACUAUGUAUUUUCUUGUUUUCCCUUUGCCAAGCCGAUUUUCAUGCCAAGGGAGUCUAAGGCAAUCUCAGCUGGAGACUUUCUUUGAUAUAUCGAUAGUAUGACCAAUAAAAUCUAUUUUUCAAAGAAAAAAAAAAACGUUGAACGAAGCUCUAAAGAUGGCUGCUACUGCGUCUAGAUAUUUCCUAUUUACGAUUUUGUAUCUUUAUUUGCUGUAUGACAAUGUACCACCCAAAAAUUCAAUUUCUUCCAAUGCAAAAUCAUCUCUACUUUUCUCUUUAUCUUUUAUUCUACUAAUUUAUUUUACUUAUAAUUUGUGUUGAUAAAAAAUUAAAAAAUAAUUAUUAUAAUUUUAGCAUAUAGUGUAAAUUAUUUUAUAAAUAGUUUUUUCCUUUUUUUUUUUUGUCAAAAUAAGCUGCAUAGUCUUAAGUUCAAAAAAGUAAAUUUAUAUUAACCCUCUUGUAUUUUUUGUGUUCUGAACUUAUAACACAUUAACCCUAUUGACAACCAUUGGGCUAACAGCAUUUCUCCUCCCAGGUGCUUCUAUUGCUUUGCUAUUGCUCGUGCCACUUUCAUUUUUGUGUUCAAGCUACAUGCUCUCCAUGAGCAUCUUAUCCCCGACUCCUCUUUGGUCCAAAUGGAAUACAUUUCAAUCAAUAGUCUUUAUUAUGUUGCUGGUAUUGCAGUUUCCUUUGCGGUGCUUAAGUCGAAGAAAUUGAUGUGUUGUUAGUGUGAUAGGAGCUGACAAGUUUAAUAUAUAUGCCUCACCAUGUGGAAUAUCUAAAUAUAGCUUUUCCUCUUGCUUUUUUGUUUUCUCUUUUCUGUGUGUUUUGUCUUUAGCUGCAUGGAUAAAACCUAAAUCAAUGCUCAAGCAUUGGAAUUAAAAUAAAAGAAUCUGACGAAAUUUAUCUUAAUCCUGAUCAAUUGAUUUUUCUACCAUAGUUUUAUUGUUAGCUUGCAGUUUUUUUUCUCAGCCAUCAUUUUAUUGAUGUGUUCAACGAUGAACAUCUGAGAUACGAAGACAGAGCAAUAAUAAUACAAACAGUAAGCCCUAGCACCCGACGUCACGCCUAAAUUUAUGUUUAUUAAAAUCACCUUUACGCGACAGGCAACACAACACUUCCUAUCACCAAACCAAAUUAUAGUAGGAAAAUCAGUCAUAGCAUAAAACAAUCCCUUAGCCUCAUCAAAGCAGAAAGACAAUAUGACUUCAUCCAGUAUAGAAUUGCUUCUCUAAUUUGUGUCGAACACUCGUCUGCCUAUCAGAAUACUCCCUUCCUGAACAGCAAGCACUUAUAUUCGUAAGAUAGUUCGUUCAGUGUUAACUUCUUAAAAGAUAUUAAAUAGAAAAAACCCAAUAAAAUAGAAGUUUAACUUAAAUCGAUUUGCUAGAACGACUUCUAAUGUUUCUGUGAUAUUUAAGAAUCCAAUGAAUCGCAAUCAUUGAAUCCAAUUCAACAAUUAAUUAACGACCUCUUUCCCAACACCAUGAUGAGUGAUGAAAAAUUUUAAAAACCAUCUCUCCCUUUCUUGACUUACAUUGAUUUUUUAUUCUUAUGAGCCAACCAUAAGUUUUGAAUAUUACAUAGCCACAAGUGCUAUCCUCCCUUAAAUAUAUUUUAAACCAGAUUAAGUAGUGAGAGAGAGAGUUGUCAUCAUAGUGGUCCAAAGAAGACUGUUUUCUUUAUAAAAAAAAUCUAUCCCGGAUUUUACCUUUUUUGACUUUAAUUGACUGACUAAACAUGAUUUUAAUAACUUGACGUCCAUUCUUUAGAAAAAAAAAAAAUAGAGGCGAGUGGUUGCAGCCCUUAAAAUUUUAAAAUAUUUUAUAUAUUAUAUAUUUAAAACAUUAAUUCAUAUCAUUAUUAUGAGAAUGCGUUAAGAAAAACAUUAAGACACUUUUUGAAUUGUGCUAAAGAUUAGUAAAAAUAAAAAAGUCAAGAAAUUAUUACUUAAUUAAUAGAUUAAUUCAUCUUGUUUUUAUUCUUCCGGUUUCUACAAUAAUUAUAGAGAAAGUCUUUUUAGUAAUGAAAAUUGUGAAAAUAAAACUCUGAAAUAAAGUAAAUGAUGAGUUUCUUAUAGAUAGUUUAAUUAUUUGUAUUGAAAAAGAUAUUGUUAACCUUUUUAAUACAGAAUUAAUAAUUGAUAAAUUUAAAUACAAAAAACAUCAUCGGGUACAACUUUUUUAAAAGACUAUUAUAAGUCUUUCUUUAUAUAUUACUUUUGAUUUUCAUGCUACAUAAAAUUAUAAAAUUAUUAGAUAUUAUGAAUCUUUUGAUUGUUAGUUAAAUUUAACAUAUUAAUUUUAAAAAUUUUUAGUCUUUAUUUCUCUUUAUUUCAACCUCCCAAUAAAAGUUAACUAACUCUGCCCUUGGCAGCGUCCAAAUAAAAAUUUUAAUAUUAUUAUAGGUAGAAGGAUGCCUAGUUGUACAUAAUUUUAAAACUCCAUUAAAUUAAACAUAAGUCAUUGAAAGAUUCAAAAAGAGAGAUUAUUUGCAUUUUAUUGUACUAUUGGUUCCAAGUAGUUGGAUAUAACAAUUGUCAUGCAUAUUAAUGAAAAGUAUGAACUUAUGUAGAAGUUGACAUAGCAACUUAUAAGUACAUGUUAUAUUAUGAUAUAUAAGAUUAUGAUCAACAUGGUAAGAAACCUGUAUCUAAUAAAUUGAGGUCGAGUGCUAAAGUAUUUUAUCCAAUUUUUGACUCUCAAACGUCCUCUUAACAACACUAUCUAGUUAAAAUCUGAGAAGAAAAUUGUUAAUUUCCCUUUGAGAAAACGUCCUCUUAACAAAAUCCGAUUUUUUCUUGUUUCAUUAGCUCAGGUCGGAGAAGAAAAUUGCAAUUGAACUUUGUGAAGCAGUUCCCCUUUGAGAUAGUAUAUUUUCUUCUUUUUUACAAGCCAGAUGUCACUAGAAAUUUUUAACAAAUAACUAAAGACUUUGGAUAACAUAGUGGCUUAGUGCUAAUAAAAUCAUCUUUCAAAAGAAAAAAAAACUAGGAAAAGAGCUUUUGCUUUUGCAUUAGUUAAAAAGCACUUUCCCGAUAUUUCUUAAAAGAGCUAUCAACAAUUGAUUCAAUAUUAAAUAUAUGUAUUUUUAUUAAAAAAGUUGAGCUAGAAUUCACAAUUUUUUAAAUUAAAUAAAGAUUAUUUGAGAAAAGAAAUGCAAAAAAAAUUUUUUAUGACGUGAUAAUGCUAAUCUCAAUUUUUUUUGUGUUAUGUUAACGCCUAAAUAUAUUUUAAUAAAUAAUUAUCAUGAAAAGUUGAGGAUAUUUUAAAGAAAGAACUGUAUCUUUGCUUACUCAAAUAAUGUUUUACAUUAUGCUUACUCGUUAUUUGACUCUAACAACAACUAGACUCAAUUAAAAUCACUUCUUACUCUAUCAUUUCUCAUUUUAGAGUUAUGUCUUUCAAUUUUUUUAUAUCUAAUUAGAAGCUUCCUCAUUUUAGUGUUUUGGAUUUGUUGAAGAGAGAGUUGUCAUCUUUAGUGGUCUAAAUUAUUGAAGAUUUUAUAAUAAAUAGAACUGUUUUUUCCACAAAAACUCCUUUAUUCUGCCUUUUCUGCUUUUUAAUCUUUCCUGGUUCAUUAAAAUUGAUUGACUAAACAGCACCGAGGUUUUUCCUUGUAAGUUCGUCAAGGUACUCCUGUGCAGGGCACCCUCUCUUUACUCGUUCAAUUAAUUGCUGCGAGUGGCCUUAAGUACUAGAUAUUUUCUCUGUUUUAACUACACUCUAAUUAGCCUAAGCCCUUACAAUUACCUAUCAUUUAAUUCCGGAUUUGUAGCCUAAUCCUUUUUCUGUUUUCUGCUUGUCAUUGUACUUUCGCCCUCUUGAUAUGGAUGAAACUUUGAGGAGGGCUGCUCAAGAAGGAGAUAUUGUUGAAUUAUAUGCAUCCAUCCAAAGAGAUGGCGUUGUUUUGAGGCACAUUGAUGAGAUGCAGUUCGUUGACACUCCAUGACACAUAGCUGCAGCGCAAGGGAGCAUUGAUUUUGCAAUGGAGAUAAUGAUGUUAAUGCCAUCAUUCGCUAGGAAGCUGAACCAAGAAGGCUUUAGUCCCAUUCACCUUGCGGUGGAAAAGGGGCAUAAAGAGCUGGCCCUACGUCUCAUACAAAAUGAUAAAAAUCUUGUCCGUGUAAAAGGGAGAAAGGGUGAGACUCCUUUACACUAUGUAAAAACUACAGAACAAAACCUUGACCUCUUGGACGGAUUUCUGGAGGCUUGUCCUGAAUGCAUCCGAGAUAUGACAACCGCAAACCAGACUGCUUUGCACAUUGCAACGGAAAACAAUAGAUUGGGAGCUCUUUACCUCCUAUGUCGGAUGCUUAGGAAGAGUGACGAUUUUCAGGAUGUGGUGAACCUGAAAGACAGCAAUGGCGACACUGCCAUGCACAUAGCCGCACGCAAAAAUCAACCCCAGGUUCAACCUCAUCCCUCUAACUAAUUUUACUUUUAGUGAAAAAGGAAUGGAUUCUUUAUUUUGGGAUUGUAUUUGAUGGUCAAUUAAUUAUCAUUUUAAUUUAUGUCUCAAUCAAACAGAUUCUCAAAUUGCUAUUAAAAUGCAAGGCUGAUAAGUUUGCGACAAAUCAAGUUGGUUUGACGGUGCUGGCUGUUGCAGACGAACUUGAUAACAAAGAGAGCAAAAGUAUUCUUCCUGGUUGGCUAGGUGCAAGAGCUUCAAGCUUUCAAUAUGUAAUUCGGAAACAAAUGGUCAAGCAUGUGACAAAGGCAUCAAAAGUAAUUUUUCAAGGUAUGGACAGUAUAUCCAGCGAGGAUCGCAACACCUUACUAGUAAUUUUAGGAACGCUUCUAACAGCUACCUUCCAAGCCAGUAUUAACCCGCCUCGCAGUGUUUUGCAAGAUGAUGGCUCCCCAAACUCCAAGUCCACUGUAAAUGAAGGACGUGGCAGAUUGGUCAUGGAAGAAGUUAAAUUUCUUAUUUUCUAUAUUCCAGCCUAUACUAUCUUCAUAGUAUCGUUUUUCCUAACGUUGGGCCUCCUUAAACCUUUUCCCCGUGGUUUUAAGACUGCGCUUCAAGUAUUACUUGCAUUUCUUGCUAUAUGCUUCGACCAAUCAAUAUCUUUCAUAGCGCCAACUGAUUUAACAUAUAAAGUUAUCAGAAUAUUUUCAGUGUUGGAUUUUAUUUCAAUGAUGUUCAUGUGUAUUGGUUACCGAGUAUCAAGAAUUAGUGUUUUAAUUCUAGGAUGCUGGUUAUUCCCUGGUGUUACUCCAUUGCAGAGAGGAGCCUUUCCAAUUUUAGGGUGCUGGUUAUUCCUCGGUCUAUAUGAUCCAUUCUGGAUAGGAUCCAUUUUUAUUUUAGGAUGCAUUUCAGUAUUGUAUGAGUUUUAUUACAUAUAGAUUGUACUUGUUAUAGUUCGAACAUUCUUGUUAUCAGUUGGUAUGUUUCUAUUCUGUUUUGAGCAGUACUGUAUAUUUAAUUAUAUAGUUUCUUUUUCUUUUUCUUUUCAUGCAGUGAGUACAAGUAAUUGAGGAUAAUAAAAUCACUUUAAAAAAAAAUAGUUUUAUUGAAGAUUCAAAUUGUGAUACCCCACAUCCUAUAUCAGAUAUGAAUGUAAAUGUUAAGAUUUAUAUAACAAUCCAAGUUCAUCACUACUAAUAACUUGAGCUUGAGCUUUUAAGGACCAUGUGGUUUAGUAUCGAAAAGCUGUUAAACCAGUUGUUGGACUUAGAUUGUUACAAAUGGUAUUAGAGCCUGCAUCAGUCCGAUGUGAGUUUUCAUAUUACUUUGGUGAGAUCUUGGUCCCGUGAAUGUGAUGUGUGGCUUUAAUAUCUCUUGAGCCAUUUAGGAACAAAUCAGAUUUUUUUUCUUCUCACCAUGGGCCAUAUCUCAUGUCCUGGAAGUGGAAAGUGAUUCUUCCAAUGCCAUCAGCUAGACUAAAGACCACAACAAGGUCCAUGGCGCUUGAAAACUAUCUCCAAUGCCAUUGAAGCUCUUCUCGUAGCUGCAUUGGAAUUCCGUUGAAAUAUAUCCUACGUGAAGCCAACGCAGUGGCAGACGGAUUGGCCAAAGUGGGUGUGACAAGGACCAAUAGUUUUAGUGCUUACUUCAGGAGCUUACACAGGGAUGAAGCUACUGACCACCCCUUACCCUGAGCUUUUCUGUUACUGGUGUGCUAAGCAUUUUACUUAAGUCGAUGUAGUUGAUUGCCUUAAGUCUUGAUAGUUUCUCGACUUUGUGCUAAUCUACUAACCAAUGGUCCUUACUAUAACCAAAUUACAGUAGGAAAAUAAGUCAUAGCAGCAAACCAACCCCUUACCCUCGUCAAAGUUGAAAGAAAAUAUGACUUAGAUCCAGAACAGAAUUCCUUCUCUGUUUCAUGUCGAAUAUUCGUCUGUCUAUCAGAAUACUCCCUUCUUGAGCAGUAAGCACUCCUUAUACAGACCUUAUGAAAAUUUUUUUUAAAUUUUCUUGAAAAUCAAAUAAAAAUAAAGAAAAAAAAGAUGAAAAGAGUGUUAGUUUAAUUGGAUUAAAUCUAUGCAAUUAAAAAUAAGGGUAAAAUACAUAGACUCUCUCAAUUUUUAGUCAUAAUUCCACAUGAGUCUGUUAGUUUUUAAAAUAAAUACUCUAUACUAAAUGUGUAAAUAGUAUUAAUGCUUAAACGCAAAAUAUAUAAAACACCCUACUUUGUUGUCACUCUUUCUUUCUUUCAGGUUGACCGGUGACACUUCCUUACCUCGGCCGGCCAUCAGAUCAGUGCCCCUUGAAGAGCACCAUGAUUGGUGGUCCUUAGGAGCAUCGAAUUGACCAGCGUGGUCGGUUGGUGAAAAUAGGAUAGAGUUUUUCUAAAAAAAAAAUUAUAAUUUAGUAAUUUUGAAAAUUAAUGAAAGGUAAAAUUGUUCUUUCAAUAUUGACAUGUCAUUAAUUUAACGGAGUUGACUAACGACUAGAUUUAUAUGUCCAACAGAAAUAUUCUUUUGAGACAAAAUAUUCUUUUGAGACAAAAUAUUCAUUUUGAAAACAAAUAAACCCGCAUGAAAUUAUAACUAAAAGUUGAGAGAUUCGUGUAUUUUACCCUAAAAUAAUCAUGAAAAUCAUGUGUUAUCUAUUACACAAUAUAUAUACUUUAUUUGUAAUUGAAAUCGUCUCUUUUAAGUAUUUAACUUUCCAAAUGUAACCUUAAAAGAACAUAGUUAGAAAUUAGGCAAGCAAAACAAAUAUAUUUUGCAAUUUAUUAAAUGAAAACAUAAUUAUACUACUAUAUAUAAGCAAAAUAACAUAAGCUUAAAAACUUAUCCAUGAUGUCAUGUCCCACGUCAUCAUGGAUGGUCAUUCUCUUGCUUCAUUAACUCCAUUGAAUCUGCCAAUGGUAACUGAUUUAGUCAAUGAGGUGUUUUCUUUUUCCAGAUUUUCACUCACGUGUCUUCUUUUGUUCUAUCAACUUCUUUGGUAAUGUUAUUAAUUUCAUGGUAAUGAUUCUCUCUUUUCCUAAUGUUAAAUGAAGCAGACUUAUAUAUCAGUCAUAAUUUUACUUAUAUUUUUAUGUAAAUUAAUCACAAAUAAUUUCAAAUCACAAAAAAUACGUGGUUCAACUGCCAUUGAAAAAUGACAAGGUCGAAGUUUUCAGUGUCCUGGUGGGAUGGCUUCAGAGGAACCUUCAUAGAGAUGCUGAAUACUGGGAAAAAGAAAUCGUCAAUUGGAGGGACAGUGAAGACGAAUUUGUGUUGCACAUUGCCGCAAAAGGAAGCUAACGUCAGGUACUCUGUGUGUGUCUGUAUAUAUAUAUAUAUAUUCAAUCACACAAAAUAAAUAUAACCUUAAAGAACAUAGUUAGAAAUUUGGCAAGCUAGCAAAAUAAAUAUAUUUGUAAUUUAUUAAAUGGAAACAUAAUACUACUAAUAUAUAUACAAAAUAACAUAAGCUUAAAAACUUAUCCAUGAUGUCAUGUCCCUCAUCAUCAUCUGUGGUCAUUCUAUUGCUUCAUUAACUCCAUUGACUCUGCCAAGGGUACGUAAGUUAGUCAAUGUGGAAUUUUCUUUUUUCAGAUAUUCACUCACGUCUUUUCUUCAAUUCUAUCAACUUCUUUGUUAACGUUAUUAAUUUCAUGAUAAUGAUUGUCUCUUUUCCUAAUGUUAAAUGGAGCAGACUUAUAUAAUUUAGCUAUAUAAGUGUAAGAUAAAGUUAGACAUUAACUUUAUUAUAUCCAUAAUGUUAUUGGCAUUAUUCCCUUUUGCACACCAAGUGAUAAGGGUGAAAUAAAUAAAAAAUAAUGUCAAUUGAAAAGUUCACUUUUAAAUUAAUUUUACUGAUUCUUUGAAUUCCAUCUAAACUUCAUUUUCACACCAACAGUUUGGUGUCCCCCAUUAGAAUCCCCGCCACUCAAAAAUGCGCUCCAUAUAAUCUCAGAAUAGUGACAUGAGAUUAAAAUAUGAACACAGUCCUCAUUCAAAUCACACCAUGAACAUAAGUCAUUAUCAUUUUCAAAGUAAAUAUCAGUAGCUCACAAGAAGCUUGUGGCUGCAAUGGAAUUUAGGAGAGCUAACCAUUAAAGAAAUUGAAUAUUUGAGAGGAUAACGUAUUUUCAAAUAGAUAAAUCAUACUUUCUUGUCUCCAUAGUUGACUGACUUCCUAACUACUCAUGAAUUUAAUGUUGAUGUUGACGAAAGUGCUAAGCAGAUCUAGAAACUCCAUGAAGCAGUUCGAGAGAAGAUUAUUCUUCAAACUGCUAGAUACCAAAAGCAAGCCAACAAGCACAAAAAGUUAGCUAAUUUUGAGGAAGGAGAUUUUGUGUGGAUUCACUUAAGGAAAGAACGUUUUCCGAAGUGUCGUGCCAAAUUAUCUCUUCAAGCUGAUAGACCAUUUUAAGUUUUAAAAUGUAUUAAUGAGAAUGCUUACAAGAUUUGAGCUUCUUGGAGAUUAUAAAGUUUAUUCUACCUUCAGUAUUGCUGAUAUCUCUCCUUACUAUGGAAAACACAAAGAAGAUAGAUUUUGAAAGUGAUUUUUCUCCAAUUUAGGGAGAAUGAUAAAGGAGUAUGUUAUUAUCAUAUUAUUAUCCAGGUCUCACAUAGGAGUUAUAGGAUAAAUAAGAGUUUUAGUUUAUUUAAGAAUUGUAGGAUAAAAUAAAAAUCCCACAUAAGAAAAUAAGAAAGUUCUCUUUCUUAGGAAUAGUUAUAUAAAGCCUUAAUUGUUACGCAUAUUGAAGUUAAGAAUAGAUAAAAAAUAUUUUCUUGAAUAAGUAGUGCUUAUUUUCUCUAUAUCGAUUAAGAGGUUCUAAUAUCUUUAGUUUGGCUUGGGAGUUUACAAUUGUUCUCUAUAUUGCUUAUUUUCCCUAUAUUUUCUCUAUAUUGAUUAAAUAAGAAUUGAUUACAAUUGUUCACUUAUUAUGUUUCACUUUAAUGGCAUUUUUAAAAGUGAAAAUUUGACUAUUUUUUACCUUAAUGGGGUUUUCAAAGUUCAUUGGUGUUCACUUAAUGAAUUAUGGUUAUUUGAUAUCAAUUCUUACAGAGGCGGAGCUAGUCAAUUUUUAUUAAGGGGGCCAAAGACAAAGAGAAAUAAAAGGCUAAAAAAUUUUAAAAUUAAUACGUUGAACUUUAGUAUUAACGAUCAAAAAAUUCAUAAUAGACAAUAAUUUUAUAUAAAAUGUAAAUUAAAAGAAAUAAAAAAAAACUUAUAAUAGUCCUCUAGCAAAGUUUUGUUUAACGAUGACAAUGUCCUCCGCAUUAUAAACAACUAACUUAUUUGUAAGAAACUCAUUAUCCAUUUUGUUCUAGAGUCUUAUCUUUCUCAAUAUAAACAAUUAAAAAAUUAAUGCAGUCAACAUCUAAUAAAUUAAUAUAAACAUUUAAAAAUAUAAACAAUUAAAAAGUUAUGCACAUAAAAUGGAUCUCCUUAUUAUAGGAGUUCUUCAAAUACUUUCUUAUGAUCUUGUAACUUGGAGGUACGGUUUAUGUCCCCCUCCUCUGUACUUCUUAUUUAGUAUUUAAUAAAAUUUAACAGGGUAGCUGGGCCCUGCGUGAAUUUUCAGCAUAAAAAAAAAACAUAUAAUAUUCUUAUUUUAUUUCUAUUUAACCUUAAAUUAUUAAAUAUUAAACUAUAAUGCAUAAAAUAUAAUAGUUAAAUACGCUAUACAUAAUUAAUAAUUUUCUCUUAUAUAAUCAAGAUUGUUUAAAGACUAAAUACUCAAGAUAAUUUCCUUUCAACUUAAUAUAAAAUGUAAAACACAUUAAAAAGAUAUACGAUCAAGAUAAUUUCUUCUUAUAUAAUUAAAAUUAAUAAAAUAUUAUAUAUUAGUGAAAUUUUAAGCAACAACCAAUUAUGCAAAGCUAGAACUUAUAUUUGAGAAUCACAUAAUAAUUUUUUAAUUUUCAAAGACUAAAAUCAUUGAAAAUAAUAUCUACAUAACAAAAAAAAUGAAGAACAUAACAAGUAGAAAAUAAAACUUACAUAACGAAAAUGAAAAAAAGAAGAAUAUGGUUGAUAGUUCGUUGAAAAUUGAAAAAGAAAAUCUAUAGAAACUCAGAAUAUAUGAGCAAAUAGAAUAAAUUGAAAAAAAUAAAAAUAAAUAAUAAUAAUAGAAAAAGAAAAAAAAAUUUCCUUCAUUGUAAUUUCAUAAUGAAAAGACAAAAAAAAAGAGAGAGGGAAAAAGGUGUGGAGAAACUUAAAGAGUAAAAUUGAAUAAGGAUUGUAGGAUCAUUUUAUUAUCUUUUAUUUGUGUUAAUUAUUUAAUAAAAAUUAUUUUAAAGAAGUCAUUAAAAAAUAUAUAAUAUAUAAAAUUUUUAAAAAUUUUGGGGGACCAUAGGAAAGGGACGCUCAACUUUAUAACAUGAACACAGUCCUCACUCAAAAAGUUUGUGGCUGCAAUGCAGUUUAGGAGAGCUAACCAUAAAUUUUGGAGAGGAUAACGUAUUUCCAAAUGGAUAACCAUACCAUUUUUGUCUCCAUAGUUGACUGACUUCCCAAGGCAGUUGUCGCGUUCUCUACAGAAAAUGUUGUUUUCGCAUAAAGACAUGAGCUUCAACCUCAAAGGUCGAAAAAACCUCUCAGUUUCAGAUGGAGAGAGCACAAUUUACGAGUCAUUAUUUUCUUAUAAUAUAUCUUAUAUGUUAUAAUUUAUGUAGUAAUUGACAGCUCAACCAAACGUAAAUAGGAACAUGGAAAAAGUAGUUUGACGGGUGCAUGCAGGGAUAUAACAGGUAUGACUUGCCCCAAAAACGAAUCACUUCGAUCAGCGUGGACCCAAGGUUGAGGGAGGCAGCUCGAACCGGAAAUACAUGUUCCUAUAAGCAAAAUAUAAUUUAUUAAAUAAAAACAUAAUUAGACUUCUAUAUAUAAGUAAAAUAACAUAAGCUUAAAAACUUAUCCAUGAUGUCAUGUCCCUCAUCAUCAUCGAUGGUCAUUCUCUUGCUUCGCUAACUCCAUUGAAUCUGCCAACGGUACCUAAGUUAGUCAAUGUGAAAUUUUCAUUUUCCAGAUUUUCACUCACUGUCUUUUUUUCUCAAUUUUAUCAAUUUUAUCAAUUUUAUCAAUUUAUCAAUUUUAUCAAUUUUAAUUUUAAUUUGGAGGAUACCUACUUCUUUCUCAACCACAGAAAAUAAGUACUACUACAAGUAGACUAAACCCUUCCAAUUGUUUUCCUGUGAUUAUUAUUAAAUCUUAUCGAUGGAUGAAAGGUUGAGAAGUGCAGCACAAUCAGAAAAUUAUUAAAUCUUAAAAAGUAUUGUUAUGUAAAUUUUUUAUUGCACUUUUUUCAACUUGAACCGUCAUUGUUAAUGUACGCAACUUUUAUAGUUGUAUUUUUUUUCAAAAUAUUAUCAAACAUUUGUAUGAUACAAUUAAAUCUAUAGAAAGAGUACUAGAUGUGUAAAAAGAGUAUAAUUAAAAAGAUUUGUAACAAUACUAUUGGAAAAAAUAUAGCCAAAGGUCAAAAUAGAGGUGGCAAUUGUGUAAUAGGGUCAGGUCAAUUCCGGUCGAAGAAAUUUUUGUUCUUUUUGGUUUCUGGUCAUUGCAAAUCAAAUCAGGUAAUUAGGGUUUGACACUUGAAUUAUUAGAUUUGGAUUGUAUGUGUUCUGGUUAUUUUUAAUUUAAGGGUUGACUUUUUAAGUCAAAUGAAAUUGGAUUUAGAUGAAUUGUUUUCAAUUUAAAUGUUGGCCUUUUAAGUCGCAUGGAUUUAGAUUUAAACGAAUUGUUUGAAUUUGAAUGAUUUCGAGUUGGUUAUUUGGGUUGUUUGGGUUCAAGUAGUUUUGAGUUCAGAUCAAUUCAAAUUCAAAUUGUUUUGAAUUCAAGUCCUUUUCAACUUUGGAUCAUGCAAGUUCAGAUUGUUGAUUUUUUUUUUUGGUCAAAAUCAAUUUUAUCGAGUUUGGGUUUGAGUUCAAGAUUAGCUAUGCCAAUUUUAGUCAAAAUUAUUUGUAGUGCAAGGAAAUAUAUAUUUUUUUGGGCAAAUUUAAGGAAAGAAAUUUGAAAUAAAUACAUUGGCUCCUCUUAAGUUUGAUGAAAAUAGUGCAUUAAAUGUAAAAACAUAUUCUAAAGUAAAAUUUUGAAUUAUCUUAUUUUUUUAAUGAAGUCAGUUUUAUUGACCUCUUCAACCAGCAUGCCAUUGUAAGUCUCUAACCAAAGCGGAGAAGACUUGCUAUGGCAUAAAUUUUUCAUGGUUAAUUUGGGCAAAAUAUAACCUGUGCAAUUACAAAAUGAUCCUACCACUCAAAAAACAAUAUCGGCAUGUACCCACAGAUUUAUCAAACCCGCUAUCAUAAUCAAAGCUCAACUAAAUCCAAGUACCUAACAUUUGCCCUUAAUCUCUUCAAGAUAAAUUGUAAUCGAUGCCUAUUUAACAAUUCCACCAGAUCAAAGUUUCCACUGGCCCUUGUAGCGAGGGCUUUUCACCUAACCCCUUUAUAUCUUUUAGUUUAGAAUUUUACAAUUUACAAAUUUAAUUAUUUAUAGAUAUUAUUAAUAUUUACAAUUUACAAGGGUUCUGAUACCCCGAGGAAUAGUUUAGUAAGAACAAUUUAUUUUUUUCCUUAAAAAAAAUUGAAGUAGAAGAAGAAAAAGUUUGGUAACAACGACUUCCUGCCUCUUACCAACCUUGUUGCUGUCUUGAUUUAGGACCAAGAAGUCUUCUUGCUAGUUGUCGUAUAUAUAGGAACAAGCCAUUACCAUUUCCUUCAUAUCCUUUCCACUCUAACUGCAAUAUAUUGAUGAUCGAUUCCUGCUUCUAACUAAUUAUUUCCAUUCUCCACGAUAUGGAUCCAAGGUUGAGGGAGGCUGCUCAAACAGGAGAUUUUAACUACUUCUACUCACUAAUUGAGGAAAACGCAAGCGUUUUGAACGACAUUGAUACAGAGUCUUUUGCUGAGACUCCAUUACAUGUAGCGGCUUCUGCAGGGCAAAUUGCUUUUGCCGUAGAGAUGAUGAAUUUAAAGCCGUCGUUUGCAAGGACGCUGAACCAAGCUGGGUUUAGCCCCAUUCACUUAGCUUUACAAAACAAAAAAACCCUUUUUGUACAUCGACUCCUAGAGAUGGAUAAAGAUCUCGUUCGAGUCAAAGGGAGGGAGGGUAAGACUCCUUUUCAUUACGCUGCUGAACUAGGAGAGCCGGAAGAACUUUUGAACGAUUUUCUUGAAGCUUGCCCCGAAUGCAUUGAAGAUGUAACUGUUCAUGGUGAAACUGCUCUGCACAUCGCGUUAAAAUGUAACAAGCUUAAAGAGUUUAAAUCCUUGGUGCGAUGGAUACGAGGAAGCUGUCAUAAAGAUGCCAAACUGUGGGAAGAACGAAUCCUCAACUGGAAGGACGAGCAAGGCAACACUGUUCUGCACAUUGCAGCCUUGGAAAACCAACCAGAGGUUUGCUUUUCCAUUUAUCAGACUCCCAAUUGACUUGUAAUCAAAUUAAAAAACUAACUAGUUAUUAGUACAUCUUCUAUGAUUUGCACAGGCAGUAAGACUGCUGGUAAAGUGUCGUGACGUAGUUGAUGUGAACGCCAAGAAUUCGGAAAAUUUGACAGCACUGGAAUAUAUCUCAAAAUGCGAUGAAAACGAUGAAAGCACUGAAAACCAAAGGCCAGUGCCAAAUAGAUCAGAGAUUACUAAAAUCUUGCGAGCUGCUACACCUCGAAUGCAUCCCUUCAUGGCAAUCCUCGAUUUCGACGAGGAGUUAAUGUUACCUUAUGUUAAAAGGGUAAUCACACAUAUUGCUCGGAGAAGGGAGAACAUUUCAAAUGGCAUGCGCAACGCAUUGCUGGUAGUCAUUACGCUGGUUAUAACAGCCACUUACCAAUCCUCUUUAAGUCCACCUGGUGGUGUUUGGCAGGGAGAUAACAGUAAUACUUCAUCUAAAUCAAACUAUGCUAGCAUAAAUACCAGUAAUAGUAGCACCCUUGCCGGAGAACCGCAUGGUCCGGGGACAACCGUAAUGCAAAAAAAUACUUUUGUUGUGUUCUGGACUUACAACACAUUAACCCUAUUGACAACCCUUGGGCUAACAGCAUUUCUCCUCCCAGGUGGUUCUAUUGCUUUACUACUGCUCGUGCCACUUUCACUUUUGUGCUCGAGCUACAUGCUCUCCAUGAGCAUCUUAUCCCCGACUCCUUUUUGGUCAAAAGUGAAUACAAUUCUGUCAAUAGUCUUUAUUAUGUUGCUGUUAUUGCCGUAUCCUAGAUUGUUUAACGAGAGACGGCGAGCCCAAAUGAAGAGUGAAUUAUCUCCACGUGCGGUGCUAAAGUCGAAGAAAUUUUAUAUCAAAAUAUUCUUUUUUUUGGUUGCUGCAUUGUGCUUUACUGUAAUCAUGCUGCAAAAUUGGUUACAUUCGUAGAUUAGAAGUAUUUAGGACCCCAACCCUUUCUGAAGUCUAAUCUUAGCGUUGUGUUGUUUCUUAUCUAUUUAAUAAAAGAAGUUGGUAUUGUAAUUCUUGACUCUUCUAAAUACUAUAAAUGCAAGUGUCUUUGGCCUUUUUGAUGUUUGUUGUUUUUUGAUGCGUUCUCUCCUGCCGUCUUUUGGUUAGGGCAGGCUUGCUUUUUCGUUUUAAAUGUUUGCGGCUGUGAUAACUGCCACUUCUUUUUUGUGCAGUUAAACUUUUAUGUAUCAUGAUUUGUUAUCUCGAUUUUCAUGUCAAUGGGAAUCUUAGGUAAUUUCAACUUGAAAUUAAUAUUGGCAUAUGGGAUGUAUGACUAAUAAAAUUCCCUUAAAAAGAAAAGUUGGUUUUGAGAAUUAAAGUUUUCUUCUUGAGUGUAGCAUUUUUUAUUUGCCCAAAGUCUUUACUCGUAAAACCGUGGGGCAGGCUGAAACCCCAAAAGUCCACUGAAAACAUUUUUGGGGUUGAAAAUGGGACCCUUUUCUCCAGCAAACUUUACUAUUAUACCAACCCACCUAGCAAGGCUAUUACUCUAUUUAAUUUAGUGUAUUAAUUGAGUACAAAUUUGUACUCUUUCAUGUAUUGACAAAACCUUAAGUAACGAAAAUUAGAAUAUUAUUUUACUGCUUAUGGUAUCAUAUUGCCAAUCAAUAAAGAAAAUAGAGAUAAAUAUUUCAAAAUUUUCAGCAUAGUUUACUGCAAUGUUUAAUGAUAGCAUUCUAUUUUAAUUAGGUGCAAGGUCAACAUUUUCAUCUAAUUUUCGAUGGGAUAUCACCAAACCAUUACGCCCAACUUCAAUGCCCCUAAACCAUCCACUAGUGGUAUCCUUGUUCAUAAGAACACUUAUGGCCUCCACAACAAUAUUAAACUGCAUCGCUGACAAAGAGCAUCCUAGAAGCUGUGGGUUUGGCAACCACACAAUCUCCUCAAUGGCAAUAUUUACUUCAAAUGCUUUAAUCCAGGACAAGUAUUGCAUUUUAAUCACAAGAAACUAGUUCCAAUUUAUCCCUGUUUUUCCAUAAAAUAUAUUGUAAUUCCAAAAACUACUAACCGUCUCUUUUAGCAACACCAUUGAUCAUAUUGUCUUGACUUGAUAAAAGAUUCAACGGAGUUUGGUAUCUCGCAUUGGAAUCCCCACCACUCAAAAAUACAGCUCCAUAUAAUCCAAGAAUAGUGGCACGAGAUUGAAAUAUGAACACUGCCCUAAUUCAAAGCCACGUGAACAUAAGUCAUUAUCAUUUUCAAAGUAAAUAUCUGUAGCUCUCAAAAAGCUUGUGGCUGGAAUGUAGUUUAGGAGAGCUAACCAUAAAUUUUGGAGAGGAUAACGUUUUUCCAAACACAUAAACCAUACGUUUUUUUGUCUCCAUAGUUGACUGGCUUCCCAAGACAGCUGUGGCUUUCUCUACAGAAAAUGUUGUUAUCGCAUAAAGACAUAAGCUUCAACUUCAGAGGUCAAAAAUACCUCUCAUAUUCAGAUGGAGACAGCAGAUUUUAAGAGUGAUAUCAUUUUCGUAUAACAUAAUUAAUAUAUUUUAAGAGUAGAAAAAACCCUACAAUUUAUGUAUUAACUUAUGUAUUUAUUGUUCUAGGUUGAAAAGUGAGUCUGUUCAUCUAAUUAUUCUCUAUGGACGUUAUUAUGAUAUUUAGUAGGAUGCUGUUCAGGAAUGUCGUCAAAUUUCUUUUUGAGCGAUGACUAAUUUUUUUUCUUUUUGUAAUUGAGCAGUUUUUUUUUUUUUGCCCAUACUAGAUAUUAUAUACUCCAAACAAUCUUUUGCAAAUCAGCUAGAGACUUGCUGAUGGAAUAUUGGUAACGGUAAUAAAAUUAUUUUUACAAAAAUUGUCAACUUACCUUUUCUUGAAAUUAAUAUUGGCAUAUGGGAUGUAUGACUAAUAAAAUUCCCUUAUAAAGAAAAGUCGGUAUUGAGAAUUAAAGUUUUCUUCUUGAGUGUAGCAUUUUUCAUUUGCCCAAAGUCUUUACUCGUAAAACCGUGGGGCAGGCUGAAACCCCAAAAGUCUACUGAAAACACUUUUGGGGUUGAAAACGGGACCCUUUUCUGCAGCAAACUUUACUAUUAUACGAACCCACCUAGCAAGGCUAUUACUCUAUUUAAUUUAGUGAAUUAAAGGAAGUCAACUUCAAUGCCCCUAAACCAUCCACUAGUGGUAUCCUUGUUCAUAAGAACACUUAUGGCCUCCACAACAACAUUAAACUGCAUCGCUGACAAAGAGCAUCCUAGAAGCUGUGGGUUUGACAACCACCCAAUCUCCUCAAUGGCAAUAUUUACUUCAAAUGCUUUAAUCCAGGACAAGUAUUGCAUUUUAAUCACUAAAAACUAGUUCCAAUUUAUCCUGUUUUUCCAUAAAAAAUAUUGUAAUUCCAAAAUGUUAGGAUAGUCUUGAAUUGUGAUUUAAUUAGAAUUGUUUAAUUCUAAUUAAAUUAGUAUACUUUAUUAAAUAGUCUUUAAAUCUGGUUAGACUAGAAUAAUAAUUUCUAAUUAUAUUAAGAUAAGGUUAUUAUAUUUGACACUAUAAAAGGACCCUAUGGGGUUAAAGAAUAAUAAUCACCUAGAUUUAGAGAGAGUGAUUUAGGUGUACGUAGGAUAAGGGUUGUAAGUUUGAGACUGUUCUUGUAAUCUCCUAAUUUUUCUCUUAGUGAAUUUUUUUCUGUUGUUGUGCCCGUGGACGUAGGUCAUCAAAAGACCGAACCACGUAAAUUCUUGUGUUCUUGUCGGUGUGCUUGAUUUCUUUCUUUUUUUUUUUCUAUUGAUUGGGUUAGAUCUUGGGCAAUUCUUUAGAGAAAAUUCUAUAAUUUUCCAACAAAAUGGUAUCAGAGCUUCAAGGUCUUAAGUCAAUUUGAAUCUCGCUAUGACAACUUCGUCGACCAAGUAUGAGAUUGAAAAGUUUAAUGGAAGAAACGAUUUCAGCUUGUGGCAUGUUAAAAUGCGUGCAUUACUAGUGCAACAAGGACUGUUGAAGGCACUGAAGGGAAAAGAGCAUCUUCCCUCGAAUUUAUCUGAUGGUGAGAAAGAUAACCUUAUGGAAAAAGCACAUAUUGUUAUUCUCUUAGUUUUAUCUGAUAAGGUGCUAAGAGAAGUCACGGAUGAAGAAUCUGCUGCUGCAGUGUGGCUUAAACUCGAAAGUAUUUAUAUGACCAAAUUCCUGACGAAUCGGCUUUAUAUGAAGCAACGAUUAUAUACUCUCAAGAUGAGUGAAGGUAUGUCCGUUAAUAUCACAUUUAUGAAUUGGAUAGAGUUAUUCUUGAUUUAAAUAAUAUCAAUGUUAAAAUUGAGAAUGAAGACCUAGCCUAAUUCUUUUAUGUUCUUUGCCUCUAUCGUAUGAAAACUUCGUGGAUACUAUGUUAUAUGAUCGAGACACUCUCACUUUCGAUGAUGUAAGAGCAUCUUUAAAUUCCAAAGAAUUGAAGAAGAAAGUUGGUGGUAUCCAGAAUGAAAAUCAAGCAGAAGGUUUGGUUGUGAAUAGAGGAAAAAAUAGAGAGAAGGGUAUAGACAGAAAAGGUAAAUCUAAAGCAAAAGGGAAAACUUGCUAGAAUUGUGGUCAGAAAGGACACUUUCAUCAAGACUAUACCAAAUUCAAGGAUGAUGAAAAGAUCAACAAAUCUGUGAAUACUGCAAAUGUGGUUGGAGAUGACUUUGAUACUUUUGAAGAAAUUGAUAAUAUUCUUGCAAUUACCAACGAUAACUUGAUGGAUAUAUGGAUCUUGGAUUUGGCUUGUUGCUUUCAUAUAUGUCCUAGGCGUGAUUCGUUUACAACUUAUCAAUCUGUUGAUAUGGGCACUGUAUAAUUAGGAGAUGAUUUCUCUCUCUCAAUUGUUGGGAUUGGCACAAUUCGAAUCAAGAUGUUUGAUGGUAUGGUAAGAACACUUGAGGUAAAACAUGUCCCUGACAUGAAAAAAAAUUUGAUAUCCUUGAGUUUGUUAGAUAAGAAGGGCUACAAAUAUAGUGGCCAAGAUGGUGUCUUGAAUGUAUCUAAAGGAACCUUAACUAUCAUGAAGGGCAAGUUAUCCGGUGACCUUUAUUGUCUAAUGAGAAACACGUUCAUUGAAACUGUUUCUGUGGUCUCAUCUAAUGAUCCUGAAGAUGAUGUAACACACUUAUGGCAUAUGAGAUUGGGUCAUAUGAGCAAGAGAGGGAUUAAAAAACUGAGUAAGCGUAGUUUGCUGUGUGGUCAAAAGAUUGAAAAGCUAGAUUUCUAUGAGCAACAUAUAGUGAAAUUUAGCACUAUAACUCAUCAAACCAAGAGUACAGUGAACUACAUCCAUUCAUAUUUGUGGGGUCCUUCUUCAGUGGCAUCAAAAGGUGGAUCAUUAUACAUGUGGACCUUUAUUGAUUAUUUUUCAGGAAAAGUGUGGACGUAUCUUCUGAAGGCUAUGAGUGAAGUGUUAACCACCUUUUUGCAUUGUAAGGUAUUGAUCGAGAAGCAAACUAAGAAAAGGAUCGAAAGCUUUCGAACAAACAAAAGUUUAGAAUUUUGCAAAGGUGAGUUUGGUCUAUUCUACAAGAAUGAAAAAAAUCGUUAGACAUUGCACUGUCAUUAAAACACCACAUCAAAACGGUAUCGUAGAAUGGAUGAAGAAAACACUUUUGGAGAGAGCAAAAUACGUGUUCUCUAAUAUUGGCCUAACCAAAUUAUUAACCUUUCCCAGUUUAUAAUUCAAAAAGCUUUGCUUCCAACAAUCUCUUAACCUUGAAGCACCAACCACUAAGAAGGAACUCAAAGCCACUGUCUGGAGUUGUGAUGGUUUUAAAGCCCUAUGACCUAAUGGUUUUAACUUCAACUUCAUUAAGAGUAGUUGGACUUUUAUCAAGAAAGAUCUUUUCGACUUUAUCUCUGACUUCAUGUUCACUGGUAAAUUGGAAAAAGGUUUUAACUCCUCUUUUAUCGCAUUGAUUCCCAAAGUCUAGAGUCCUUCGUCACUCAGUGAAUAUCGGCCCACCAGUCUUGUUAAUUCUCUCUACAAAAUUCUCACCAAGCUUCUCGCCAAUAGGCUUAAGGCAGUUAUAUCCUCGGUAGUCAGUGAUAGUCAAAGUGCCUUUAUUAGCAGCUAUCAAAUCACUGACGGGAUCAUGCUAGCCAAUGAAGUUAUCCAUAGUAUGCGCAAAAAUCUUCACAAUGAGGGUGUAUUGUUCUUAAACUCGACUUUGAGAAGGCUUUUGACCAUGUGGAUUGGGGGUACAUUUCUCUUGUCAUACAGGCUACAGGCUUUGGUCAUCAAUGGUGUAGCUGGUUUUAUGAGUGCAUUUCAAUGGUCUGAGUUUCCAUUCUUGUCAAUGGUUCAGCCACGCCCGAAUUUCCCAUGAAGCACGGCCUUCGACAAGGGGAUCCACUCUCUCCUUUUUUGUUUAUCAUGGUAAUGGAAACUCUUCAUCUUUUUCUAGUAAAGGCUGAAGCGUUGAACUUUAUCGGAGGCAUCACCCUCACUUCUUUCAAAAUUUUUAUCUCUCACCUAUAGUUCGCGGACGAUACCAUUCUGUUCUUGCGUCCUAAUAUUCAGGACGCAAUCAACAUUAGACGCAUUCUGCAGUGCUUUGAGCUAGCCUCUGGUCUCCGUAUUAACUUUCACAAAUCUUGUGUUUAUCUAGUGGGAAUAACGUCUUUUGUGGGUGAAGAAUUCUCUACUGUUCUCCAGUGUCGGACAGGCUCUCUGCCCUUCACGUAUCUUGGUAUUCCCCUUGGUGCUAACCCAAGAAGCAUCUCCACAUGGGAUCCUGUUGUUUCUAACUUUAAAAGGCAACUUGCAUUUUGGCAAAGAAAGUAUCUCUUUCUUGCUAGCAGGAUCACACUAAUCAACUCAGUCUUAAAUUCACUACCUCUUUAUUAUAUCUCUGUCUUUCACCCAUCUAAAGGUGUCAUACACAAGCUCAAGCAACUACGAUGCUCCUUCUUAUGGGGUGGAUCUACGGCUAAGCGCAAGAUGUCCAAAGUCAAUUGGUCCACUAUUUGUAAGCCCAAAAGAUUUGGUGGGUUAGGAAUCUCUAGCCUUUCUCAUAAGAAUCUCGCCUUUCUAGCCAAAUGGUGGUGGCGUUAUGGAACUGAUAAGGAAGCUUUAUGAAGACGUUUGAUUGUUGGUAAAUACGGGAUUGGUGACAGUCAUUGGACUACUUUUGUUUCUAACAUGUCGAGAAUGUCAUCGAUUUGGAAAAGCAUCAUCAAGCUCCCAUCCAAUGAAGGGGUUCAUAACCUGAUUGGUUUUCAUGCUUGGCACUGGAUCGUAGGGGAUGGUACCACUAUCCUCCUAUGGCUUGAUAAAUGGCUUAAGGACCUGCCCCUUUCAUCCAAGUAUCCUCGCCUUUUCUCGUUGGCUACAGAUAAGGACAUUCGAGUCGCUAAUGCCAAGUCUAAUGGGUCCUGGUCUCUUAUUUUCAGACAGGCAUUUUUUUCUUGGGCAAAGUCAAACUAUGAGGAACUUUUGCGUAAACUCUAUUCUAUUUUUCUUGUGCUGGGCAGGAAGGAGAAACUUGUAUGGAAGCAUGACUCUCAAGGGAACUUCUCCGUGAAAACUUUCUGUUCUAGGCUAAAUACCUCUAAUGAUGAUCAUAUGGUAUGGUUUCAAUCUUUAUGGAAUCUAUCUAUCCCUCCUAAACUUUAGUGCUUCCUAUGGCUUGCAGUCCUUAACGCAAUUCCUACAAAGACUUUUCUCUUCUCUCGUGGUGUUCAUUUUAAUUUUGAUCAGCUGUAGUGCAUUUGGUGCAGUCUUGAUAAAAGGACUUGCUUGCACAUCUUUCUCACAUGCAACUUCAGUUGGCUUAUCUGGGGUUUUGUUUUUCGAUGGUGGGGUGUUGAUUGGUGUGUCCCUUCCACCAUUCCCAAUUUUAUUCAAGCUUGGUCCCUUUGUUCAUUCGGUGGUGAUGUUUCUAAAAGAUGGAUGAUCGUUUGUGGCGCUACUUUAUGGUCAUUAUGGCUUGCACGUAAUGAAUCCGUCUUCAAUUCCAAGAUUUAGGAUGGUCUCCAAAUCAUUUUUCUCAUUAAGUUGCACUCUAUGUUUUGGAUUAAAGCAUGUGAAGGCAAUGAUGCCAUUGAUGAAAUUGGUUGGUGGUCUGAUCCACAAAAUUGCUCGUGUCAGAGAACCCCCUUCCACCUUCGACUUGGCAUUUCAUGGUCACCACCUCCCAUUAGCAUGUUCAAAUUUCAUGUUGACGGCUCAACCAGAGGUCAGUUAGGACCUGCUGGUUAUGGUGGGGUUUUGCACAACUCGGACGAUUUUGUACUAGGAUUGUUCUUUACUCCACUCGAUUUACGUGACUCCAAUUAUGCGGAAUUGAUGGGUAUCUUGCAUGCUUUUCACCUCGUUUCUGUCUCCACUUACUCCUAUUCCCAUUUAAUUGUUGAAUUGUAUUCAAGGGUUGCUUUAUCCUGGAUUAAUUGUGUCGAACGAAGACCUUGGGAUAAAUGCACAUCUUCAACGAAAUCGACUCACUACUGCUUUCCGUCGGUAAUGUGUCCUUCACUCAUGUCUUUAGAGAAGGCACUUCAUUCGUUGACUCCUUAGCCAGGUAUGGUACUAAUGUUUCUACUCCCUUCUCUGCUUAGUGGUGAACCCGUAAGUUGCUGUAUGACUCUUAUGCUGCAGUCUUUCUUUAUGCUCCAUUGUUAGUCUUAUUUUUAUGUUGCUUUGAGCUCCCUCUUUAUGUUGAUGUUCUCCUCUUUUUGAUGCUUCUUGUUAGUCUUUUUGUCACAACAACUUGCCAACUGUUGCUUGUAGAUGCUUGUACUUAUUGACCUUUUGGCUUGCAUUCACUGUAGUCUAAGUGAUCUUAAUGAAUAUUUAUUUUGGCUGAGCAAAAAAAAAAAUUUAAGUGUUAACCUUUUAAGUCAAAUCGAUUUGGAUUUAAAUGAAUUGUUUGAAUUCGAAUAAUUUUGAGUUGGUUAUUCGGGUUGUUUGGGUUCAAGUAGUUUUGAGUUCAGAUCAAUUUAAAUUCAAAUUAUUUUGAAUUCAAGUCCUUUUCAACUUUGCAUCUUGCAAGUUCAGAUUGUUGAUUUUAUUUUUGUCAAAAUUAAUUUUAUCGGGUUUGAGUUUGAGGUCAAGAUUAGCUAUGCCAAUUUUAGUUAAAAUUGUUUGUAGUGCAAGGAAAUAUGUAUUUUUUGGGAAAAUUUAAGGAAAGAAAUUUGAAAUAAAUACAUUGUCUCCUCUAAAGUUUAAUGCAAAUAGUGCAUUAAAUGUAAAAACACAUUCUAAAGUAAUAUUUUUAACUAUCUUAUUUUUUUUAAUGAAGAUAGUUUUAUUGGCCUCUCCAACCAGCAUGCCAUUGUAAGUCUCUAACCAAAGCGGAGAAGACUUGCUAUGGCAUAACUAUUUCAUGGUUAAUUUGGGCAAAAUAUAGCCUGUGCAGUUACAAAAUGAUCCUACGACUCAAAAAACGACAUGGGCAUAUACCCACAGAUUUAUAAAAACCGCUAUCAAUAAUCAAAGCUCAACUAAUCCAAGUACCUAACAUUUGCCUUCUAUCUUUUCAACAUAAAUUUUAAUCGAUGCCUAUUUAACAAUUCCACUGGCCCUUGUAGCGAGGGCUUUUCACCUACCCCCUUUAUAUCUUUUAGUUUACAAUUUUACAAUUUACAAAUUUAAUUAUUUAGAGAUAUUAUUAAUUUUUACAACGUAAAAGGGUUCUCAUACCCCGAGGAAUAGUUUAGUAAGAGCAAUUUUGUUUUUCCUAAAAAAAAUUGUAGGAGAAGAAGAAGUUUGGUAACAACGACUUCCUGCCUCUUACCAACCUUGUUGCUGCCGUGAUUAGGACCAAGAAGUCUUGUUGUAUACAUAGGAACAAGCCAUUACCAUUUCCUUCAUAUCCUUUCCACUCUAACUGCAAUAUAUUGGUGAUCAAUUCCUGAAUCUAACUAAUUAUUUCCAUUCUCCACGAUAUGGAUCCGAGGUUGAGGGAGGCUGCUCAAACAGGAGAUUUUAACUACUUCUACUCACUAAUCGAGGAAAACGCAAGCGUUUUGGAGGACAUUGAUACAGAGUCUUUUGCUGAGACUCCAUUACAUGUAGCGGCUUCUGCAGGGCAAAUUGCUUUCGCCGUAGAGAUGAUGAAUUUAAAGCCGUCGUUUGCGAGGACGCUGAACCAAGCUGGGCUUAGCCCCAUGCACGUAGCUUUACAAAACGAAAAAACCCUUUUUGUACAUCGACUCCUAGAGAUGGAUAAAGAUCUCGUUCGCGUCAAAGGCAGGGAGGGUAAGACUCCUUUUCAUUACGCUGCUGAACUAGGAGAGGAAAAACUUUUGAACGAGUUUCUUGAAGCUUGCCCUGAAUGCAUUCAAGAUGUAACUGUUCAUCGUGAAACUGCUCUGCACAUCUCAUUAAAACAUAACAAGCUUAACGAGUUUAAAUCCUUGGUGCGAUGGAUUCGAGAGAGCUGUCAUAAGGAUGCCAAAGUCUGGGAAGAACGAAUCCUCAACUGGAAGGACGAACAAGGCAACACUGUUCUGCACAUUGCAGCCAUGGAAAACCAACCAGAGGUUUGCUUUUACAUUUAUCAGACUCCCAAUUGACUCGUAAUCAAAAAAAAAAACUAACUAGUUAUUAGUACAUCUUCUAUGAUUUGCACAGGCCGUAGGACUGCUGGUAAAGUAUCGUGACGUGGUUGAUGUGAACGCCAAGAAUUCGGAAGAUUUGACAGCACUGGAAUAUAUCUCAAAAUGCGAUGAAAACGAUGAAAGCACUGAAAACCAAGAGCCAGUGCAAGAUAGAUCAGAGAUUACUACAAUGUUGCAAGCUGCUACACGUCGAAUGCAUCCCUUCAUGGCAAUGCUCUAUUUCGACAAGGAGUUAAUGUUUUCUUAUCUUAAAAGGAUAAUCACACAUAUUUCUCGGAGAAGGAAGAACAUUUCAAAUGACAUGCGCAACGCAUUGCUGGUAGUCAUUACGCUGAUUAUAACAGCCACUUACCAAUCCUCUUUAAGUCCACCUGGUGGUGUUUGGCAGGGAGAUAACAGCAAUAGUUCAUCUAAAUCAAACGAUGCUAGCAUAAAUACCAGUAAUAGUAGCACCCUUGGCGGAAAGCUGCACGAUCCGGGGACAACCGUUAUGCCAAAAAGUACUUUUUCUGUGUUCUGGACUUACAACACAUUAACCCUAUUGACAACCCUUGGGCUAACAGCAUUUCUCCUCCCAGGUGGUUCUAUUGCUAUACUACUGCUCGUGCCACUUUCACUUUUGUGCUCGAGCUACAUGCUCUCCAUGAGCAUCUUAUCCCCGACUCCGUUUUGGUCAAAAGUGAAUACAAUUCUGUCAAUAGUCUUUAUUAUGUUGCUGUUAUUACCGUAUCCUAGAUUGUUCAACGAGAGACUGCGAGCCCAAAUGAAGAGUGAAUUAUCUCCACGUGCGGUGCUAAAGUCGAAGAAAUUUUAUAUCAAAAUAUUCUUUUGUUUGGUUGCUGCAAUGUGCUUUACUGUAAUCAUGCUGCAAAAUUGGUUACAUUAGAAGUAUUUAGGACCCCAACCCUUUCUGAAGUCUAAUCUUAGCGUUGUGUUGUUUCUUAUCUAUUUAAUAAAAGAAGUUGGUAUUGUAAUUCUUGACUCUUCUAAGUACUAUAAAUGCAAGUGUCUCUGCCUUUCUGAUGUUUGUUGUUUUUUGAUGCGUUUUCUCCUGCCGUUUUUUGGUUAGGGCAGGCUUCCUCUUCCGUUUUAAAUGUUUGCUGCUGUGAUAACUGCCACUUCUUUUUUGUGCAGUUAAACCUUUUAUGUAUCAUGAUUUGUUAUCUCGAUUUUCAUGUCAAUGGGAAUCUUAGGUAAUUUCAACUUGAAAUUAAUAUUGGCAUAUGGGAUGUAUGACUAAUAAAAUUCCCUUAAAAAGAAAAGUUGGUUUUGAGAAUUAAAGUUUUCUUCUUGAGUGUAGCAUUUUUUAUUUGCCCAAAGUCUUUACUCGUAAAACCGUGGGGCAGGCUGAAACCCCAAAAGUCCACUGAAAACAUUUUUGGGGUUGAAAAUGGGACCCUUUUCUCCAGCAAACUUUACUAUUAUACCAACCCACCUAGCAAGGCUAUUACUCUAUUUAAUUUAGUGUAUUAAUUGAGUACAAAUUUGUACUCUUUCAUGUAUUGACAAAACCUUAAGUAACGAAAAUUAGAAUAUUAUUUUACUGCUUAUGGUAUCAUAUUGCCAAUCAAUAAAGAAAAUAGAGAUAAAUAUUUCAAAAUUUUCAGCAUAGUUUACUGCAAUGUUUAAUGAUAGCAUUCUAUUUUAAUUAGGUGCAAGGUCAACAUUUUCAUCUAAUUUUCGAUGGGAUAUCACCAAACCAUUACGCCCAACUUCAAUGCCCCUAAACCAUCCACUAGUGGUAUCCUUGUUCAUAAGAACACUUAUGGCCUCCACCACAAUAUUAAACUGCAUCGCUGACAAAGAGCAUCCUAGAAGCUGUGGGUUUGGCAACCACACAAUCUCCUCAAUGGCAAUAUUUACUUCAAAUGCUUUAAUCCAGGACAAGUAUUGCAUUUUAAUCACAAGAAACUAGUUCCAAUUUAUCCCUGUUUUUCCAUAAAAUAUAUUGUAAUUCCAAAAACUACUAACCGUCUCUUUUAGCAGCACCAUUGAUCAUAUUGUCUUGACUUGAUAAAAGAUUCAACGGAGUUUGGUAUCUCGCAUUGGAAUCCCCACCACUCAAAAAUACAGCUCCAUAUAAUCCAAGAAUAGUGGCACGAGAUUGAAAUAUGAACACGGCCCUAAUUCAAAGCCACAUGAACAUAAGUCAUUAUCAUUUUCAAAGUAAAUAUCUGUAGCUCUCAAAAAGCUUGUGGCUGGAAUGUAGUUUAGGAGAGCUAACCAUAAAUUUUGGAGAGGAUAACGUUUUUCCAAACACAUAAACCAUACGUUUUUUUGUCUCCAUAGUUGACUGGCUUCCCAAGACAGCUGUGGCUUUCUCUACAGAAAAUGUUGUUAUCGCAUAAAGACAUAAGCUUCAACUUCAGAGGUCGAAAAAACCUCUCAUAUUCAGAUGGAUACAGCAGAAUUUAAGAGUGAUAUCAUUUUCGUAUAACAUAAUUAAUAUAUUAUAAGAGUAGAAAAACCCUAUAAUUUAUGUAUUAACUUAUGUAUUUAUUGUUCUAGGUUGAAAAGUGAGUAUGUUCAUCUAAUUAUUCUCUAUGGACGUUGUUAUGAUAUUUAGUAGGAUGCUGUUCAGGAAUAUCGUCAAAUUUCUUUUUGAGCGAUGACUAAUUUUUUUUCUUUUUGUAAAUGAGCAGGUUUUUUUUUUUUUUUUGCCCAGACUAGAUAUUAUAUACUCCAAACAAUCUUUUGCAAAUCAGCUAGAGACUUGCUGAUGGAAUAUUGGUAACGGUAAUAAAAUUAUUUUUACAAUAAUUGUCAACUCAACCAAACAUAAAUAGGAAUACAGAAAAAGUAACUUGGUGGUGCAUGUAGGGAUUUAACAGUUAUGACUUGCAAAAAAAAAAAAAGAAUAACUUUGAUUAACUUCGAUCAGAGUGGAUUAGAUCUGACAAUUCGUGUUUUUGUAUUUUAAUUAUGUUGUGUUAAUAUAGGGUAUUAAUGAUUGUAUCAGUAAAUACAAACACGAUAUGAAUAAUUAUUCAUAUCAGCAUCUGAAACACAUACAUGAUACGUUUAAAAACCAGGUAACGCAACACAACACGACUAACAUAUUUGUUAAAUAUGUUAAGAUUUUUAUACGACAUAAUAUGAUUAAUAAACACGAUUAAACGAUUAACAUAUAUAAAAUUCAUCAUACUCAGGGGCAGACCUACCUUGUAACUAACAAUGUCAUCAUUCCAAAAAUUACUACUUAGUUAUAUUAGUUAAGCUAGAAUUUUAUAUAAUUAAUGAUACUAAUGAACCUACUAAUUUUUUUGCAUUUUAAUAAGAGAAGGUCAAAAACUCCAAGUCAAAGUAAAUUUAUCAAAAAGUAAUUUAUAUACUAAUAUUUAAAUACUAAAAGAUAAAAAUAAUUUCUUUCCAUAAUUUAAGAUUUUAUUAAAAAAAUUAAAACCUAAACUACUAUCCCUCGUCCUCUCCCUCUCCAAAAAUUCAAAUCCUAGUUUUGAGACCUGUAGUGAUGCUUCCUCUUCUCGAUCCUUAACUGCGUUUUUCAUUUUUUGAAAAUAACUCAUCUAGACUUCAAUUGUAAGUAAUUUUUAAUUCAAAUUAAGUUUUUAAAUGCUUCAUGUCUAAAUAUUUUUUGAUUAAUUUGAUAAUUUGGGACUCAAACAGAAUUUAAUUAAUAGAAAAUAGUAUUGUAUGUCAAAUAAUAUCUUGAAAUUAUGAUUCUUUGUUUUUUUAUUUAUUUUGUAGAUAUAUUGUUUGAUUAUUUGAUUUUUUGUAUUUAAUUUUAUAUGGUUUAUUGAUGCUUAUACUUAGUUUUGAUCAAUGAAUAAAAAUUUGUCAAAUUGUUAAUUGUUGAACCUGAUAAUUUGCUAUACAAGAUCAUAUUUUAUUUAAUUCUAAUGUUUUAGUUUAUGUUAAUGAGAAAUGAGUAGUAACUUUUAACAGGUUUUUGGAUAAAUAAGUCAUAAAAAGAUAAUUUAAAAUACAAAAAAUUAUCUCACAAGACUAAGGUCAUGGGCAACAAUAAUAUAAUUCUAUUAAUGAUGAUACUCAACAAUCUUCUAAGCAAAAUCGUGUUGAAUUUAAUCUAAGUAUUGUCCUGGUAGAUCUUGGAAUGAGGAAACAAAAUUUUAAUUAUUAUUAUUAUUUUAGCUAAGACACUACUUAGCAAAAUUUCUAUGUCCACCCUUGAUCAUACUAAUAACAUCUAAAAUCAUUCAUAAUUUUCAACCAUAAUUAAAUACAUAUCAUUAACUACAUCACAAAUCAUGAACAAUUCCAAACACCCAAACCAAAAUCGAAAACUCACUCGCCAAUGUCGCAUCAUUCCGGUGUCAAAACCUUUUAAAAUAAUUGUUAAAAAUUAUUUAAAUAAGGCUAAAAUAGUAUUUGACUACUAAUUUUAAUGGGUUGACAUACGUGUCACUUAUACUCGUUUAAACAUAAUAACAUGAUUAACAUGAUUAAUUAAACGUGUUAACCGUAUCAACACAAUUAAGACAUAAAACAUUAUAAGGCUAAAUCCAAACUUGUUUAACGCCAUGUCUUCUAGUGUUGUGCCCAAAAUUGCAAAAUCUAGCAUGGAUCCAAGGUUGAGGGAGGUAGCUCAAACCGGAAAUAUAUAUGUUAAUUUCUUAAGAUUAAAAAUUUUAAUAAUAACUAUGUUAUAAAGAAAUAAUAACAAAAUAUUAAUAGUUUGGAUAUUGACCUCUUACAAAGAAAUUAAAAUCAUAAUUUUUUUAAAAAAAUAACAGCAUUUAAGUACCUAAAUUUUAACUAACAUUAUAUUAUCAAAUUUUUAAUUGGAAAAAUGAGAGAUUUGAAUUUAACUCUUUACAUAAGGGAUACAUACACUUUCCAUUAAAUGUUCAUAUGUUAUAUCAAUUUCUAAUUAUAAAAAAAUUAUGUUUUUUUAAUUUUCUUGAAAAUUAAAUAAAAAUAAAGAAAAUAAGAUGAAAAGAGUAUUAGUUUAAUUGGAUUAAAUCUAUGCAAUUAACAAUAAUCAUGAAAAUCAUGUGUUAUUAUAUUUCACAGUAUAUACUUUAUUUGAAAUCCAAAUCCUCUCGUUUAAGUAUUUAACUUUCCAAAUAUAACCUUAGAGAACAUUGUUAGAAAUUUGCAAGCUAGCAAAAUAAAUAUAUUUGUAAUUUAUUAAAUGAAAACAUAAUACUACUAAAAUAUAAUCAAAAUAACAUAAGCUUAAAAACCUAUCCAUGAUGUCAUGUCUAUCAUCAUCAUCGGUGGUCAUUCUAUUGCUUCAUUAACUCCAUUGAUUCUGCCAACGGUACGUAAGUUAGUCAAUGUGGAAUUUUCUUUUUUCAAAUUUUCACUCACAUCUUUUCUUCUAUUCUUUUAACUUCUUUGUUAAUGUUAUUAAUUUCAUGAUAAUGAUUGUCUCUUUUCCUAAUGUUAAAUGGAGCAAACUUAUAUAAUUUAGUUAUAUAAGUGUAAGACAAAGUUAGAUAUUGACUUCAUUAUAUCCAUAAUGUUAUUGCCAUUAUUUCUCUUUACACACCAAGUGGUGGGAGCGAAAUAAAUCUAAAAAAUAAUGUUUAUUAAAACGUUCAUUUUUAAAUCAAUUUUAUCGAUUCUUUGAAUUUCAUCUAAAUUCCAUUUUCACACCAACAGUUUGGUAUCUCCCAUUAGAAUCCCCACCACUCAAAAAUGUGUUCCGUAUAAUCUAAGAAUAGUGACAUAAGAUUAAAAUAGGAACACAGUCCUCAUUCAAAUCACACCAUGAACAUAAGUCAUUAUCAUUUUCAAAGUAAAUAUCUGUAGCUCUCAAGAAGCUUGUGGCUGCAAUGCAAUUUAGGAGAGCUAACCAUUAAAGAAAUUGAAUUUUUGAGAGGAUAACACAUUUCCAAAUAGAUAAAUCAUACUUUUUUGUCUUCAUAGUUGACUGACUUCCCAACCACUCAUGAAUUUAAUGUUGAUGUUGAAGAAAGUGCUAAGCAGAUCUAGAAGCUCCAUGAAGAAAUUCGAGAGAAGAUUAUUCCUUAAACUGUUGGAUACCAAAAGCAAGUCAACAAACACAAAAAGUUAGCUAAUUUUAAAGAAGGAGAUUUUGUGUGAAUUCACUUAAGGAAAGAAUGUUUUCCUAAGUGUCGUGCCAAAUUAUCUCCUCAAGUUGAUGGACCAUUUUAAGUCUUAGAACAUAUUAAUAAGAAUGCUUACAAGAUUUGAGCUUCUUGGAGAUUAUAAAAUUUCUUCUACCUUCGAUAUAGUUGAUAUCUCUCCUUACUAUGAAAGACAUGAAGAAGACAUAGAUUUUGAAAGCGAUUCUUCUCCAAUUUAGGGAGAAUGAUAAAAGAGUAUGUUAUUAUUAUAUUAUUAUCCAGGUCCAACAUAAGAAUUAUAGGAUAAAUUAAGAGUUUUAGUUUAUUUAAGAAUUAUAGGAUAAAAUAAUAAUCCCACAUAAGAAAAUAAGAAAAUUCUCUUUCUUAGGAAUAGUUAUAUAAAGCCUUAAUUGUUACGCAUAUUCAAGUUGAGAUUAGAUAAAAAAAAUAUUUUCUUGAAUAAGUAGUGAUUAUUUUCUCUAUAUAGAUUAAGAGGUUCUAAUAUCUUUAGUUUGGCUUAAGAGUUUAGCUAUUUUUUACUUUAAUGGGGUUUUUAAAAGUGAAAAUUUGUCUAUUUUUUUACCUUAAUGGGGUUUUCAAUGUUCAUUGUUGUUCACUUAAUGAAUGACAACUAAUUUGAUGUCAACUGUUGCAUUGCAGGGUCAAAGCUAGUCAAUUUUUAUUAAGGGGACCCAAAACGAAAAGAAAUAAAAAGCUCAAAAUUUUUAAAACUAAUAUGUUAAACUUUAGCAACAAUCAAAAUAUUCAUAAUAGACAAUAAUUUUAUAUAACAUGUAAAUCUAAAGAAUUAAAAAAAAGACUUAUCAUAGUCCUCUAGCUAAGUUUUGUUUGACGAUGGCAAUUUCUUUCUCAAUAUAAACAACUAAAUUAUCUACAAAAAACUCAUCAUCCAUUUUAUUCCGGAGUCUUGUCUUUCUCAAUAUAAAUAAUUAAAAAAUUAAUGCAGUGAACAUCCAAUAUUCUUAUUUUAUUACUAUUUAAACUUAAAUUACUAAAUAUGAAACUAUAUUGUAUUAAAUAUAAAUAGUUAAAUAUGAUAUACAAGAUUAAUAAUUUCCUCUUAUAUAAUCAGGAUUGUUUAAAAACUAAAUACUUAAGAUAAUUUCCUUUCAACUAAAAAUAAAAUGUAAAGCACAUUAAAAAGAUAUAUUAUCAAGAUAAUUUCUUCUUUUAUAAUUAAAAUUAAUAAAAAAAUUACAUAUUAGUGAAAUUUUAAGCAACAACCAAUAAUGCAAUGCUAGAACUUAUAUAUGAGAAUCACAUAAUAAUUUUUUAAUUUUUAAAGACUAAAAUCAUUGAAAAUAAUAUCUACAUAACAGAAAAAAAGAAUGUUGAGUUUUAGGUUGACUAGAAUUCUAGAUCUUAUUUGAUUAGGAUUUUUUGUUUGUAUACAAUAUUAAGUAGUUGUAUGAUUUUAAACUUUUUAUUCCACAUCGAAUCCUAAUCACAUUCUACUUUGGACUUUUAUACUAUAAAAGUGAAUUUCUAGGCUUUAGAAUUAAAAGUAGUGCUUUGAGAGCUCUAGAGAGGGAACAUCUUGUAACUCUAUCUUUUACUCUAGGUAGAGCUAGAGUGGUUUGAGUGAAUGUUCUUGGGAGGUUAUUGAGGAAGAGUGUGCAAGGGAUCUUGGGUUGUUUUGGGAAACCAUAAAGGUCAAUUUAUUGUACUUUAAAUUCUCAAUAAUAGAAGAACAGUUUUACUCCGUGGACGUAGACAAUAGGCCGAACCACGUAAAUUCUUGUGUUUUUCUGUUUGCUUAUUUUCUCUGGAUUUUAUCUUUAUUGAUUCUUGGGCAAUUUCCACAACAAACUGGUAUCAAAGCUUCGGGUUCGGUAAAUUCAAGAUUCAACAAGGAUGUCGAAAGUUACUAGUUCUACGAAUUUUUCAAUUGAGAAGUUUGAUGGGAAGACUAGUUUCACGCAGUGGCAGAGAAGGAUGAAAGAUCUCCUUGUGCAGCAAGGUUUAAUGCGCCCCUUAUUAGGAAAGGAGGAAGGGCAACCAAAUAACAUGAAGGAUGUUGAAUGGGUAGAGUUAGAGCAAAGGUGUGUGAGCACUAUUCGGCUUUGCAUUGGAGAUAAUGUGUUUAAUCAUGUUAUUGAUGAGGAUUCUGCUCUAAGAUUAUGGGCAAAGUUAGAGAAAAUUUACUUGGCGAAAAGUCUUUCUAACAAGUUGCAGCUUAGGCGAAAGUUGUAUUACUUAAAGAUGGAGGAGAAUGGAGACCUCAUGAAGCAUAUGAAUGAAUUCGAUGGAAUCAUUGNNNNNNNNNNNNNNNNNNNNNNNNNNNNNNNNNNNNNNNNNNNNNNNNNNNNNNNNNNNNNNNNNNNNNNNNNNNNNNNNNNNNNNNNNNNNNNNNNNNNNNNNNNNNNNNNNNNNNNNNNNNNNNNNNNNNNNNNNNNNNNNNNNNNNNNNNNNNNNNNNNNNNNNNNNNNNNNNNNNNNNNNNNNNNNNNNNNNNNNNNNNNNNNNNNNNNNNNNNNNNNNNNNNNNNNNNNNNNNNNNNNNNNNNNNNNNNNNNNNNNNNNNNNNNNNNNNNNNNNNNNNNNNNNNNNNNNNNNNNNNNNNNNNNNNNNNNNNNNNNNNNNNNNNNNNNNNNNNNNNNNNNNNNNNNNNNNNNNNNNNNNNNNNNNNNNNNNNNNNNNNNNNNNNNNNNNNNNNNNNNNNNNNNNNNNNNNNNNNNNNNAGAUUGUUUUGAUUUACUUUAAGAAGGGGUGGCUAGGAAUUUGACUUUGGGUAAUAAGUUAAUAGUGAAGGUCAUGGGUCUUGAAGUGGUGAAAAUCAAAAUGUUUGAUAGGGUUGUGCGCUCUUUGGGUGGGAUGGCUUAUGUACCAGAGAUGCAUAAGAAUCUAAUAUCACUAAGCCUAUUAUACUCCAAAGGAUAUGGAUAUUCUGCUUAUGACAGAGUGGUAAAUGUCACACAAGGUGACAUGGUCUUGAUAAGGAAGAAUUUGUAUAAUGGCUUAUAUCAUCUAAAAUGUGAGGCCUCGAAGGGAUAGGAACAGUGCACAGGGGAUAGUAGCUACCAAAGUGAGAUUUCAUUUGCCGAGGAGGUGAUGAAAGGUUCCCAUGGUGUAGACGAUGGUGAAAGGAUGAAAACUCUUGCCAGUAGUGAAUUGGAAGGGUCGUCGAGGUCCCUUUUCCGAAGUCAAUUAGUGCCAUUGACUUGACAGCUACACAGGUGCAUUGGCCGUUUUGUGGAAUCGAGUGUUGGACCAUGUUUGAUUCGGUAUGUGUAGUCGUGGUAAUUAUAAAGGCCAAUGAUUUAGAAAGUCUUAUGUUUGGAGAGUUGUUCAAGGUGUUGGAAAGUAGGUGGAGUUAGGAAGUUGCAAUUAAGUGCGACUGGUGGAAGAGGUUUAAGGAGUUUGAAUUCAAGUCAAAGGUGGAGGUUUGUUGAGUUUUAGGUUGAUUAGAAUUCUAAAUCUUAUUUGAUUAUGAUUUUUGUUUGUGUACAACAUUGAGUAGUUGUAUGAUUUUAAACUUUUUAUUCCACAUCGAAUCCUAAUCACAUUCUACUUUGGACUUUUAUACUAUAAAAGUGGAUUUCUAGGCUUUAGAAUUAAAAGUAGUGCUUUGAGAGCUCUAGAGAGGGAACAUCUUGUAACUCUAUCUUUUGCUCUAGGUGGAACUAGAGUGGUUUGAGUGAAUGUUCUUGGGAGGUUAUUGAGGAAGAGUGUGCAAGGGAUCUUUGGUUGUUUUGGGGAACCAUAAAGGUCAAUUUAUUGUACUUUAAAUUCUCAAUAAUAGAAGAACAGUUUCACUCCGUGGACGUAGGCAAGAGGCCGAACCACGUAAAUUCUUGUGUUUUUCUGUUUGCUUAUUUUCUCUGGAUUUUAUCUUUGUUGAUUCUUGGGCAAUUUCCACAACAAAGAAGAACAUAACAAGUAGUAACAAAAAUGAAAAAAAGAAGAAUAUAAUUUAUGGUUCGUUGAAAAUUGAAAAAGAAAAUCAAUAGAAACUUAGAAUAUAUGAACAAAUAGAAUAGAAUUGAAAAAUAUAAAUAAAAAAAUAAAAAAAAAUUUACCUCAUUGUAAUUUUAUAAUGAAAGGACAAAAAAAGAGAGAGAGGGAAAAGGGCGUGGAGAAAUUUAAAGAGUAAAUUUGAAUAAGGAUGGUAGGAUCAUUUUAUUGUCUUUUAUUUUUCUUAAUUAUUUAAUAAAAAAUUAUUUUAAAGAAGUCAUUAAAAAAAUAUAUAAUAUAUAAAAAUUUUUAAAAUUUUUGGACCAUAAGAUAGGGACGCUGAACUUUAUAACAUGAACACAGUCGUCACUCAAAAGCUUGUGGCUGGAAUGCAGUUUAGGAGAGGAUAACAUUUUCCAAAUGGAUAAACCUUACUUUUUUUUGUCUCCAUAGUUGUUUUCGCAUAAAGACAUGAGCUUCAACUUCAAAGGUCGAAAAACCUCUCAUAUUCAGAUGGAGAAAGCACAAUUUAAGAGUCAUUAUUUUCAUAUAGCAUAUCUUGUAUGUUAUAAUUGAUGUAGUAAUUGACAGCUCAACCAAACGUAAAUAGGAACAUGAAAAAAGUAGCUUGACGGUUGCAUGCAGGGAUUUAACAGGUAUGACUUGCCCCAAAAAAGAAUCACUUCGAUCAGCGUGGACCCAAGGUUGAGGGAGGCAGCUCGAAACCGGAAAUACAUGUUAAUUUCGAAAGAUUAAACAUUUUAAUAAUAACUUUGUUAUAAAUAAAUAUUAAAAGUUUGGAUAUUGACUUGAUCUUACAAAGAAAUUAAAAUCAUAAUUUUUUUUUAAAAAAAGAAUAAACAACAUUUAAUCACCAAAAUUAUAUUAAAAUAUUAACUAACAUUAUAUUAUCAUUUUUUCAAUUGAGAAAAUGAGGGAUUUGAAUUUCAUUCUUUAAAUAAGGGAUAUAUACACCUUCCAUUAAAUGCUUGGAUGUUACAUCAAUUUUUGAAUAUAAUAAUAUUUUUUUAAUUUAAUAUAAAAUAUGCUAAAAUAAAAGAUUUUUUAAAAUUUUCUUGAAAACUAAAUAAAAAUAAAGAAAAUAAGAUGAAAAGAGUAUUAGUUUAAUUGGAUUAAAUCUAUGCAAUUAAAAAUAACCAUGAAAAUCAUGUGUUAUCUAUUACACAAUGUAUAUAUAUAUAUACUUUGUUUGAAAUCCAAAUCCUCUCUUUCAAGUAUUUAAAUUUCCAAAUGUAACUUAAAAGAACGUAGUUAGAAAUUUGGCAAGCAAAAUAAAUAUAUGUUGUAAUUUAUUAAAUAAAUACAUAAUUAUACUACUAUAUAUAAGCAAAAUAACAUAAGCUCAAAAACUUAUCCAUGAUGUCAUGUCCUUCAUCAUCGUCAAUGGUCAUUCUCUUGCUUCAUUAACUCCAUUGAAUCUGCCAACGGUACCUAAGUUAGUCAAUGUGGCAUUUUCUUUUUCCAAAUUUUCACUUGCAUCUUUUCUUCUAUUCUAUCAACGUCUUUGUUAAUGUUAUUAAUUUCAUGGUAAUGUUUGUCUCUUUUCCUUAUGUUAAAUGAAGCAGACUUAUAUAUCAAUCAUAAUUUAGUUAUAUUUUCAAGUAAAAUUAAUCACAAAUAAUUUCAAAUCACAAAAAAAAUAUGUGAUUCAACUGCCAUUUAAUUAAUUUUAAUUUGGUGGAUACCUACUUCUUUCUCAACCACAGAAAAUAUGUACUGCUACAAGUGGACUCAACCCUUCCAAUUAUUUUCCUGUAAUUAUUAUUAAAUCUUAUCGAUGGAUGAAAGGUUGAGAAGUGCAACACAAUCAGAAAAUAUAGAUGUGAUUAUUAGAUUAUAAAUUUUUUUUCUUAUUCAUAAAGUAAUAUGAUAGAAAACACCUCUAAUUCAAAAGAUCCCUUGAAGAUGGGAGACUCCGGGAGGGAAGAAUCUUUCAUCCUUAUCAGUUUGAGUUUUGCCCAGGGCAUUCAAUGGAACUUUUGAAUAUUUUACAGCCACAAGUGCUAUCCAGCCUCCAAUAUAAAUUUUAAAACCAGAAUAAAGUAAAGAGAGAGAGAGUUGUCAUCUUAGAAGAUUUUUUUAUGUACGAGUACUUUUUUCCCACGAAAACUCCUUUAUUCUGCCUUUUCUGUUUUUUAAUCUUUCCUGAUUCACUGAAAUUGACUACACAGCACAAAGGUUUUUCCUUGUGAGUUCGUCAAUUGCUGUGCACCAUCUCUUUACUCUUUCAAUUGCUGUUUUAGCUACAUUCUAGUAAGACUAAGCCCUUACUACCUAUCAAUUUAUCAUUGUUCUAAGCCUUCUCAUCGCACUUUGUUUACCGGAAGGAUGGGAGGUGCUCAACUAUUUAUUUUUAAGUGAAUUUCUUCCAUGCUCUCUUAGUUACUCUUUUCUAUUUUCCGCUUGUCAUUGUCAUUUCGCGCUCUUGACAUGUAUGAAAGUUUGAGUAGAGCUGCUCACGAAGGAAAUAUUGUUGAAUUGUAUGCAUCAAUCCGAAGAGAUGGAGAUGUUUUAAGGAAAAUUGAUGAGAUGCAGUUCAUUGACACUCCAUUACACAUAGCUGCAGCUGAAGGGUGCAUUGAUUUUGCAAUGGAGAUAAUGAUCUUAAUGCCGUCAUUCGCUAGGAAGCUAAACCAAGAAGGCUUUAGUCCCAUUCACGUCGCAGUGGAAAAGGGGCAUAAAGAGCUGGCGCUACAUCUCAUAGAAAAUGAUAAAAAUCUUGUUCGUGUCAAAGGGAAGCAGGGUGAGACUCCUUUGCACUAUGCAAUACCUAGAGAACAAAAUUUUGAUCUCUUGGCCAGAUUUCUUGAGGCUUGUCCUGAAAGCAUCCGGGAUAUGACAACUACAAACCA